UUGGAAGCUCUACUAUAUAUAUCUCUCCUGCUCGGCUAUUGGAAGACAGAACUUGGAAAAGCUUUAAUUAGUCUCAUACGUUCUAUUCAAUAGUGAUUCUGAGUUUCUUUCUAGCAACCCUUUUGUAUUGUUCUUAAAUUGUAUUAUGCUGGAAACUUGAUAGUCGGUAAUCAAUAUCCUUGUUCUUAGUUUAAGUCGUGUAUCGGCUUGGUCUAUCUAGAGUUGAUAGGAUCUGUUUGUAGACAAGCUUUCAAAGCUACAGUAGUGCAGAGGUCUCAGUGGUGAGAAGGAUUGCAGAGGUGCAAGAUGGGCCAGUCGUGUCCAACGGAAAACUUUCUCAAACAGGGAGUUAUUUUGUAUUUAACUAAGUUAAAUUGAAAUAAAUAGAGUCUCCAAUACCAAUUGGUAUUGGACGUGGAUUAGGCCACUAGAGGGGCCGAACCACGUAAAAAUCUUGGUGUGAUUUUUACUUCUGUUUAUCUCUUUAACUGUCAUUCACGUUCUGAACUUCUUUGUUAUUCACGCCACUAUCCAGACACUAAAGCAGACAGGUCUAGCUGUCUAAUAAUAAGAAAUGAAGAACAUAAGCUAAAGCAAACACUAAAGCAGACAGGUGUAGCUGUCUGAAUUAUACCUGUAGCAGAAAAUUUCAAAAAGUUUUCACUAUUUAUCACUUUAAGCUUAAACACCUAUUCACCCCCCCUCUAGGUGUGCACAUAUUAAUUGAAUUACAUUAAGUUUGGCAGAUUUUGAUAAGUGGAUUUUAUAUCCAUGAAUCGAUGUCCAUUUCAAGCUUAAUCGUUGUUAAUUUCUUGUUUCCAUGUUCGUUUUUACUCGUUUUGUGUUAUUUUAUGUGUAUGGUGGUUGGUGUGGAAAGUAGCAAAGAAACGGAGUCAUUUGAAGCAAUUAUGGAAGCAAGCAUGAAGUUUAGCAAAAUUAAGAAGCAGAUAAUACCCCCGCCGGGGCGGGCCUAUUUUGUUCUUACACCCCACCGGGGCGGGGGGUCUCGAAGUCUGGCAAUCCUAGCUUAUUGCAAACUCUGAUGGAACAUGGAUUUUAGUAUGUGGAUAGCAUUUAGACUCUAAUUAACAUGGGACUUCUACCAAAAACUGGUGUGUUGGAUAAAUAUUGAGCAACAAACAUCAUAAUCAAUAUGAUACAGAGCAAUUAUCAGAGAUUAAUUAUAGAAAUUCAUAUCGAGCAUUGGAGUGAAGAUUUUGAUGAACUUUUAUAUCGAUUGUGGAUUAAGGCUAACGUGAAUGGUGUUUUUCAUUAUUCUUCUUCUUAGUCUUAUAUUUGUAAUUGAAAAGAUGUUAUCUUUAAUUUAUUCAGUAUUUAAUUCAUUGAUGAUGAUCUAAUUUACUUUUUAGGCUUAUGAUGGAUCCUUAAGUGAAACGAUGAUUAUGUAACUUUGAUUUCCAUUUUAAUAAGCUAUUAUCCAGUUUAUCUAUAUUAAUUUGAGCUUGGAUUUAUGAAUUGCCUGAUCAAUAGUUCUUUGUGGAUUUGUAUGAAUUCGAGAGAGGAAGUACGAAUCUAAACUUAGUUAAUAUAACAUGUGUUCUUGAAUUUUGGGAAUGAACAGAAUCUUGAUGAAUGUUAAGGUAGAGAUAUGCUUGACAUCGCAUGUAAUGGGAUAGGGAACUUAAUCUUAAACCUUCUUUAAUUAUAAUUCACAUAGAGAUAUAAUGAGUUUGUUGAUUAAGGUGUUUAACUUAUUUCUAUCUAAUUUGUGGGUUUGAGUUAAUACAGUAUUAGUGCAAUGAGAGGUGGAUAGUGCUACAUUAGUGUUCUUGAUUAAUAAAUUGGGAUAGUGAAUUGAAUUGGAACAAAGGUGUAAAAAUCAGAGUGAAGCUUAAGGUGAAAUCGUAAGCCUAAUUCUCCAAUAAUUGUUAAUAUUUGUGAUUGGUUUGUGAUCUUAUAUUUAUUAAUAAUUUAGAUUUUAUAAUUUUAAUCAUUGAUUUGGAUAGUUUAAUAAAAUUAGGAUUAAUAAGAAAUUGAUAAUUAUGAGGUUAAAUUCUUACUUAAUUGUCUCUGUGGGAAUGAUACUUUACUUACUAUUAUAUUACUUGUUGACCACGUAUACUUGCGUGUCGUGCGUAAUUAGAUUUUACCCAAUAUUCCCAAGUAGUGAUCAUUGGCUAUGGAGAUGUCUGAUGGUGGGUGGUUGAACAAACCUUUGAUAACUGUUGUUUUCUUCCUAUACACCAUGGAUUAUAACCUCAGUAUAAACUCAGUGGCCAGUCCACCAUUCCUCUAUAAAUAGCAGUUCAAUUCUCAGUUUUUAAGUGGCUAUGUUUUGACUGUGAAACUUUGAGAAAUUGAGUCUGAGAGUUUGUGCUUCAAAGAAGAGUCCAACAAUCACAUAAGGGAGAAACUAAGUAUACUACGCUUCAAGAGGUAUAAAAAUCCUAACUUUUGUACUUAGUUGGGUUUUAUCAAAUUCUUAGAAAUUACAUAAAUUUCUUUGUGAGACCCCAAAUUUUAGGAAUAAAGAUUUAAUUUUCUCGAAAUAUUUUUUUGAAUAUUAUGGUGUGAAUUUGAGAUAGUGUUAUAGUUGUGGGUAGUAUUUGAAAAUUUUGCAAAGUAUGCAAGUUGUCAUAUAAUAUUCGAUUGGUCGGGGAAUAUUCUUUUUGUCGGGGAAUAUUCGUAUGGCAGCAUAAUCAUUGGUGGACCCCACAAUGGAAGUACUGUCGUAGUUAGAAAACGACAAAGAUAUUUUUUGGAAAUAACGAUGGAGGUUUUAUCGUUAAUACUGUUGAACUACCCGGUAGUAAAAGUAUAGUAAUACACGUGGUUGCAUAGUAGCACACGGUAUUGAUUAUUGAUGCUUACGUGAUAAGUCACUCAGUUAUACUCAAUUAUUGCUAUAGUAAUUUGUGCAUCAUAUCUCUCAUAUUAUUGAUUCGAUUAUUAUCACAGUAUCAUGUGAAUAAUAUGUUAUUUUAUUAAAUCAAUAAUUGAGACGACAAAGUUAUUCAUAUUAUUAAAUUGCAAUAUUUACAAUGUCUAGAAGUUCUAUCAAGGAGAGGUUUGGUCACCUAAUUGCGCGCCAAUAGGGAGAAAUCCUUAUUGGAAAGCCCCCUCUUUCCUGGGAACUACCUGGUUGUUAAAUAUUGUGAGUUAUAAUAUUAAUGAUGAAUAAGUUCGUGUUGAUUAAAGAUGAAUUUGAUAAUUUCAUUAUGUUGGGAUUAUUUGUGUUAGUAGAAAUCGACAUCUAUUCCGAUGAUAAUUGAUGUCUGGAGGUUAAAUUAUUCAAUCGGGUAUUCGGGGAACUUUUGGUGUCGGAGUACUAUUCACGAGUUACUAUUCAUAAGUUACUAUUCAUGAGUUACUAUUCAUGAGUUACUAUUCACCCAGUUACUAUUCACUCUAGUAUUGUGCAUUCGGGUAUUUGGGUACAAUAUUAUUCCAUGAGGAGAUGUGCUAAUUUUUCAGACCGUUGGUUGAAGUUAUAUUAGUGAAUCAAUAUGGACCGCUGGUGGAAAGUUAUAAUAGUGAAUCAAUAUGGAUCGCUGGUUUAAAGUUUUAAUAGUAAAUCAGUAUGGACCGUUGCUUUAAGUUUUAAUAGUAAAUCAAUCUGGACCGUCCGUUUAAAAGUAAAUCAAUCUGGACCGUCCAGGAAUUAGUUACUAUUCAAUCCAUUCUUCUAUAAAUAGAAGCUCAUUCCUUCAUUAUUUCUUACGAAUUCACUGAAACUCUAGAGAGAGAAAUUAUAGAGAGAAAGAAGAAGAGUAUUCUAUUACUUCACUACUUCGAUAUCCAGUGUCUUUUACGGUAAGGGGUGUUAUUCUUUCUUAUUCAUGAAGAGAACUUCUGUUAUUCCAUUCUUUAUUAUUCUGUUAGAAUAACCUGUAUACGCGGCAUACCCUAUACAUAACCUGUAUACGUGGCAUACCCUAUACUUGGUGAAAUCCCUCUUUAUUCCAUUAUAUAUUAUUAUGUUGGAAUAACCUGUUUAUGCGAAGUACCGCAUACAUGGUGAAAUUCUUCUGUUAUUUCAUUCUAUAUUAUUAUGUUGGAAUAACCUGUUUAUGCGAAGUACCGCAUACAUGGUGAAAUUCUUCUAUUAUUCUAUUCUAUAUUAUUAUAUUGGAAUAACCUAUUUAUGCGAAGUACCGCAUAUGUGGUGAAAUUCUUCUAUUAUUCCGUUCUUUAUUAUUCUGUCAGAAUAUCCUGUCGGUGCGAAUUUCGCCUGACCUGGUUCCAUUAUUUAUUAUUUCGCAUUUAUUAUUCUGUCAGAAUAUCCUGUCUGUACAUUCUAUGUUGGACCUGGUUCCAUUAUUUAUUAUUCCGCAUUUAUUAUUCUGUUGGAAUAUCCUGUCUGUGCAUUUUACGCCGCACCUGGUUCCGUCUUUGUCAUUCUGUUGGAAUAACCUGCCUGUGCUAUCUAUCAAAUGUCUAGUGAUUUCUUUUGUUAUUCCAUUAUUUAUUAUACUCAGUUGGUUAAAGUUUUAAGUUCUAUACUCCAUGAAAUUAGUGGAAUAUCCUUGAUAUUUGCGCUUCAUCCAGUAUCUUUUCAUGGAAAUAUUCUUCUGAUCAUUCUUGAAUUUUACUCUACAAAGAAGUAUCAUGUUGACAAUUUGGACGUUAUUAGUUCCUGAAUAAAUUAAUUUGUUAACAUGUUUUAUUGAAUUCUUAUAUCAUUGUCAUCACCCUCGUAUAUAUAUUUUUGAAAGUCAUCUGUGGCCUGUAGUGCAUAGAUGGACUUGGUAUGAUUAUGACCAGGGAUUAUUCGGUAUAAUCAUGACCGUAAUGUUACAAAUGAUGUCAUAAAAGUCCUCAUUGGUCCAUAGUGCAUUGAUGGACAGUUGUUGGCAUGAUCAUAACCAUUGAUGAAUACACGAAUAUCCUUGGCCUGUAGUGCAUGGAUAAUUAUUGGUCGUGACGCUAAUGAAUAUCCUUGGCCGUAGUGCAGGGAUGAUGUGGAUUAUUUAUUAAGCUGAGUCUCAGCGAUAAAAGUGAUGAAAAACGUUUUAAAUCAUAAAAGAUAGUAGAUUUUAUUCUCUACUUGACUCUUUUAAUGGAUUGCUUAUUCCGCUGCAGUUAAACUUGAUGUCUAUUGUAUUUUAUCAGUUUAACAUUGUUGAAGGCUAAUGAUAAUUUAUCAUGUAUUAUCUUAGUCAUAAUAUUUCUUACUGGGCUAGUUGAGCUCACCCUUUCUUUCACUGUUCUCUUCAGGAAAUGAGAAUAUAGCUUGGACGAGUCACGGAGUGACAGUCCAAAUGAUAGCAUUAGUAGUCCUCACUAUUCUAUUAAAUAGUGUGAUAAUAAAUGUAAUGAGGACUAAAUUUGAGUUUGUAUACUGUCUAUGAGGACUCCAUUGAGAGUGGAUAUUGUCUAGAAGGCAAUAUUCUUGCUUAAACUCUCAGUUUAUGUUUUGUCGUAUUUUACAUGACAGUUGUAUAAUUAAGUUGUAUUUGAUUUAUGUACCAUGUAUUUGACGACUCAAGAUGGGUGAUGUAUACCUAUUUUGGGGGCGUCACAGUUGGUAUCAAAGCUUAGGGAUAUGAUCCCUGGCUAAGAUGUGAGAUAAGAACUAGGAGGGGAGAGACGGGGAAUUCCUUCGCUAGUAUGACCUACCUAAGUUUAUUUGGUAUUUAAUUGGUUGGUCAGAGUAUAGGGAUAAUAUGUGAUAUGUUAAUUAACCCUUGUUUUGUGGCAGUAUUUGAAAAUGGCAUCCGAGAAUGCUGAGAACAUCAAUGGAGCACAGGAGACCGUUGAGUCUCCACUGAUCAAUAAUCAGGACAAUGUGCAUCAGGAAGGCGACAAUCCUCAUGCAAGCAACAACACUGACCAAAUGAUGAACGAUGGAAUGUUUCGAGGUUUUUGCAAUUCAUGCAACAUCAGGAGAGAACGGCUCCUGUCCAAAAUGCAGGUGGAAACACUGGCAACUCUCGGACGGUCACCGCCAAACAGUUCAAGGAGCUGGGACCACCGGAGUUUUUUGGAGAGCCAAAACCACUUAAGGCGGAGACGUGGAUUAAGCAGAUCAACAAGAUAUUUGAUGUCUUGGGAUGCUCCGAGGAGCAAAAGGUUCCCUUUGCCACCUUCAUAUUGCGGGCAGAGGCAGAUUACUGGUGGGAAUCUAUAAAGCGUACUCAACCUGCCGCACUGAAGAUGUCUUGCGAAAAGUUCCAAGAACUGUUCAACGACAAGUACUUUCCUGAAAGUAUUCGUCACAUGAAAGAGGUAGAGUUCAUCAAGCUGGAACAAAACAACAUGACCGUAUCGCAGUACGAAGCCAAGUUUGCUGAGUUGUCCAGGUUUGCGUUCCAUUUGGUUGAUAAUGAGGAGAGAAUGGCGCGAAUGUUUUUAAGAGGUUUGAAACCUAAGAUACGUCAAUAUCUUAUCUCUCAUAAACUAUAUUUGUAUUCAGAUGUUGUUAAUAGGGCUCAGUUAUUGGAGCGUGAUAAUGAGUCAACCUAACCAAAAGAGAGCAGCCGAUAAAAUGAUAAUACUAGUGAUAGCAGUUAUCGAAGCGGUGGCAAUAAGUGUGGAGGGAAUCAACAUGCCAGAAAUGGUAACCACUUCGGUGGUAAUCAUGGCGAAAAUAAUAAUAAUAGACAUUUCAAGAAGAGGAGAUUCAACAUGAUGGAAAGACGUCAGCACCAUCACCCGUUGUUAAAGAAGGAGAACGACUGCCUAUUAUAUGCUUCAAAUGAUGAGGGGAGGGACAUAUCAGUCCAAACUGCGCGAUGCCAUCCAAAGCAUGUUACAAUUGUGGAAGAAAAGGACACCUAGCCCAAUUUUGUCAUUCACCAAAGACAAGUUCAGCUACGAUGGAGGCACCAAAGGUCGUCCCAGAAAAGUCAAAACCGGUAGUGCAAGGGAGGGCGUUUUUCGUGACUUCUCAAAAAGCGAGUAACCCGAACGAAGUUAGCACGGGUUAGUUAAUUAUAAAUUCUUGCGAAGUCUAUGCCUUAUAAGAUACCGGUUCUACCCAUUAUUUUAUCUCUCUUGCUUGCGUUCAACGUUUAAAUUUGACUCCGGAGAAGUUAGACUUUGACUUAUUGGUUGAAACUUCGUUAGUAGGAGCCUUCGUUACCUCCACUGUUUAUAAAUCUUGUUGAUUCAAAUCGACAUUUUCACGUUACCUGUCGAUCUUAUCUCUUUGAAAAUACUUUCAUUUGAUGUGAUUUUAGGAAUCGAUUGGUUAACUACUCAUCAUGCUUUUCGUAAGGUUGUUAGCUUUUAUAUUCAUAACCAACCUGUUAUGCGAAUUCAAGCAACCAAACCACUAAAGUCAAUCACUGUCAUAUCAAGCCAUAUGUAAAGAGCCCCGAUCUUUUUGUUGUUGACUUCCUUGUGUGGAAUGCACCGAAGUCAGACUUUUUGUAGGCGACAUCGUGAAUGACGAUGGCAAGUUGAUAGGAAUCAAUGUGACGUGCUAUCCAAGUCUUGGAUGAGGAUCACAGUUUUGAAUGAUAUUUCUAUUAUUAAUAAAUUUCCUGGCGUAUUCUUGAAGACUUCCUAGCCUACCCCUAGAGCGUGAAAUCAAAUUUUGUAUUGACCCCAGUACAAAACCCUCAAAUAUUUAUGUACCUAAAACGAUCGUAUAAUGUGUCAAAGACGUUGGCUCGAGCUGUUGAAGAUUACGAUCGUACCAUUCAAUACCAUCGUGGAAAAGCGAACGUGGUAGCUGACGCGUUGAGUAGAAGAUCGUAUGCGUUUAUGAGUGCGAUGUUGUUAACACAAAAACCCAUUUCGUAUAACUUACAAAUGAUGAAGACAGAGUUAAAGACUCUAGGGAUCCACGUGAAGAUAACAAAUAUACGAUUAGAAUCGACUUUAAUCGAUAAAGUUAAAGACGCUCAAGUUACAUACUCAAAGAUGAUGAAUGUGAAAAAGAAGGUUCAAGAGGGCGUUAUUCUAGAAGCAAGAAUCGAUGAAGAGAGGAAAUCUCAACUCUCGAUUUAAUUGGCCCAUUUGAAAUCCUCGAUCGAGUAGGAACUGUGGCCUAUAGAAUCAUUUUACCACCAAGUAUGUUGCGUGUUCAUAACGUUUGUCAUGUAUCGAUGUUACGUAAAUAUGUGGACGACCCGAACCACAUUAUUGAUUUAGAACCAUACGAGAUAGCGAAUAAUUCAACGUAUGAAGAUGUACCUGUUAAAAUCCUAGAAUAUAUUCUAUGCUUAAAGGUUAUACCUUAAGAGAUAGGAUCUGACGAAGUGUCCUCAUCUGUUCGGCAUACCAAGUACGUACGUAAAUUUCGAGGGCGAAAUUUCAUAAGGAGGGGAGAUUGUGAGACCCCAAAUUUUACGAAUAAAGAUUUAAUUUUCUCGAAAUAUUUUUUUGAAUAUUAUGGUGUGAAUUUGAGAUAGUGUUAUAGUUGUGGGUAGUAUUUGAAAAUUUUGCAAAGUAUGCAAGUUGUCAUAUAAUAUUCGAUUGGUUGGGGAAUAUUUUUUUUGUCGGGGAAUAUUCGUACGAUGGCAUAAUCAUUGGUGGACCUCACAAUAGAAGUACUGUCGUAGUUAGAAAAUGACAAAGAUAUUUUAUGGAAAUAACGACGGAGGUUUUAUCGUUAAUACUGUUGAACUACCCGGUAGUAAAAGUACAGUAAUACGCGUGGUUGCAUAGUAGCACACGGUAUUGAUUAUUGAUGCUUACGUGAUAAGUCACUCAGUUAUACUCAAUUAUUGCUAUAGUAAUUGCUGCAUCAUAUCUCUCAUAUUAUUGAUUCGAUUAUUGUCACAGUAUCAUGUGCAUAAUAUGCUAUUUUAUUAAAUUAAUUAUUGAGACGAAAAAGUUAUUCAUAUUAUUAAAUUGCAAUAUUUACAAUGUCUAGAAGUUCUAUCAAAGAGAGGUUUGGUCACCUAAUUGCGCGCCAAUAGGGAGAAAUCCUUAUUGGAAAGCCCCCUCUUUCCUGGGAACAACCUGGUUGUUAAAUAUUGUGAGUUAUAAUAUUAAUGAUGAAUAAGUUCGUGUUGAUUAAAGAUGAAUUUGAUAAUUUCAUUAUGUUGGGAUUAUUUGUGUUAGUAGAAAUCGACAUCUAUUCCGAUGAUAAUUGAUGUCUGGAGGUUAUAUUGUUCAAUCGGGUAUUCGAGGAACUUUUCAUGUUGGAGUACUAUUCACGAGUUACUAUUCAUAAGUUACUAUUCACGAGUUACUAUUCAUGAGUUACUAUUCAUGAGUUACUAUUCUCGAGUUACUAUUCACCCAGUUACUAUUCACUCUAGUAUUGUGCAUUCGGGUAUUUGGGUACAAUAUUAUUCCAUGAGGAGAUGUGCUAAUUUUUCAGACCGUUGGUUGAAGUUAUAUUAGUGAAUCAAUAUGGACCGCUGGUGGAAAGUUAUAAUAGUGAAUCAAUAUGGAUUGCUGGUUUAAAGUUUUAAUAGUAAAUCAGUAUGGACCGUUGCUUUAAGUUUUAAUAGUAAAUCAAUCUGGACCGUCCGUUUAAAAGUAAAUCAAUCUUGACCGUUCAGGAAUUAUUUACUAUUCAAUCCAUUCUUUUAUAAAUAGAAGCUCAUUCCUUCAUUAUUUCUUACGAAUUCACUGAAACUCUAGAGAGAGAAAUUAUAGAGAGAAAGAAGAAGAGUAUUCUGCUACUUCACUACUUCGAUAUCCAGUGUCUUUUAUGGUAAGGGGUGUUAUUCUUUCUUAUUCAUGAAGAGAACUUCUGUUAUUGCAUUCUUUAUUAUUCUGUUGGAAUAACCUGUAUACGCGGCAUACCCUAUGCAUAACCUGUAUACGCGACAUACCCUAUACUUGGUGAAAUCCUUAUUUAUUCCAUUCAUUAUUAUUCUGUUGGAAUAACCUGUAUACGCGGCAUACCCUAUACAUAACCUGUAUACGUGGCAUACCCUAUACUUGGUGAAAUCCUUAUGUUAUUCCAUUCUUUAUUAUUCUGUUGGAAUAACCUGUAUACGCGGCAUACCCUAUACAUAAUCUGUAUACGCGGCAUACCUUAAACUUGGUGAAAUCCCUCUGUUAUUCCAUUCUAUAUUAUUAUGUUGGAAUAACCUGUUUAUACGAAGUACCGCAUACAUGGUGAAAUUCUUCUUUUAUUCCAUUCUAUAUUAUUAUGUUGGAAUAACCUGUUUAUGCGAAGUACCGUAUACAUGGUAAAAUUUUUCUAUUAUUCCAUUCUAUAUUAUUAUGUUGUAAUAACCGGUUUAUGCGAAGUACAACAUACGUGGUGAAAUUCUUCUGUUAUUCCGUUCUUUAUUAUUCUGUCAGAAUAUCCUGUCGGUGCGAAUUCCGCCUGACCUGGUUCCAUUAUUUAUUAUUUUGCAUUUAUUAUUCUGUCGGAAUAUCCUGUCUGUAAGUUCUACGCCGGAUCUGGUUUCAUUAUUUAUUAUUCCGCAUUUAUUAUUCUGUUAGAAUAUCUUGUCUGUGCGUUUUACGCCAGACCUGGUUUCGUCUUUAUCAUUCUGUUGGAAUAACCUGCCUGUGCUAUCUAUCACAUGCCUGGUGAUUUCUUUUAUUAUUCCAUUAUUUAUUAUACUCAGUUGGUUAAAUUUUUAACUUCUAUACUCCAUGAAAUUAGUGGAAUAUCCUUGAUAUUUGCGCUUCAUUCAAUAUAUUUUCAUAAAAAUAUUCUUCUGAGCAUUCUUGAAUUUAACUCUACAAAGAAGUAUCAUGUUGACAAUUUGGACGUUAUUAGUUCCUGAAUAAAUUAAUUCGUGAACUUGUUUUAUUGAAUUCUUAUAUCAUUGUCAUCAUCCUCGUGUUUAUAUUUUUGAAAGUCAUCUAUGGCCUGUAGUGCAUAGAUAGACUUGGUAUGAUUAUGACCAGGGAUUAUUCCGUAUAAUCAUGACUGUAAUGUUACAAAUGAUGUGAUAAAAGUCCUCGUUGGCCCAUAGUGCAUUGAUGGACAGUUGUUGGCAUGAUCAUGACCAUUGAUGAAUACACGAAUAUCCUUGGCCCGUAGUGCAUUGAUGGACAGUUGUUGGCAUGAUCAUGACCAUUGAUGAAUACACGAAUAUCCUUGGCCCGUAGUGCAUAGAUAAUUUGUGGUCAUGACGCUAAUGAAUAUCCUUGGUCGUAGUCCAGGGAUGAUGUGGAUUAUUUAUUAAGCUGAGUCUCAACGAUAAAAGUGAUGAAAAAAUGUUUUAAAUCAUAAAAGAUAGUAGAUUUUAUUCUCUACUUGACUCUUUUAAUGGAUUGCUUAUUCCGCUGCAGUUAAACUUGAUGUCUAUUGUAUUUUAUCAGUUUAACAUUGUUGAAGGCUAAUGAUAAUUUAUCCUGUAUUAUCUUAGUCAUAAUAUUUCUUACUGGGCUAGUUGAGCUCACCCUUUCUUUCACUGUUCUCUUCAUGAAAUGAGAAUAUAGCUGGGAUGAGUCGGGAAACGGAAUGACAGUCCAGAUGAUAGCAUUAGUAGUCCUCAUUAUUCUAUUAAAUUGUGUGAUAAUAAAUGUAAUAAGGACUGAAUUUGAGUUUGUAUACUGUCUAUGAGGAGUCCAUUGAGAGUGGAUAUUGUCUAGAAGGCAAUAUUCUUGCUUAAACUCUCAGUUUAUGUUUUUUCGUAUUUUACACGACAGUUGUAUAAUUAAGUUGUAUUUGAUUUAUGUACCAUGUAUUUGGCGACUCAAGAUGGGUGAUGUAUACCUAUUUUGGGGGCGUCACAUUCUCUGUUAAUCAAUAUGACUUAGCAUGCUAUUAUGUGUUAGUGAAGUAUGUGUACAUAUAUGGAACCUUUAAUGUCAGAUUUGAGUAUGUUUAAUCCAAGAAAAAUUAAAGUUAGUUGAUGAUCUACAAAACAGAGUAAGUUACUGGAGUUGAUCUAGGUAGGGCUCAGCUGCGUCGGACCCCAGAAUCAGUUUCUAGUUUCUGUUAUGCUAUGUUGUUGCUAAUUUGGUAUUAUAACAUAUAUAUACAUGAAAAAGAGGUAUAACAUGUUUUAUAAAGCUUUCUUACGUGGUAGGAAUUGCUUAACAUAAUUUAGUAAGAGAGUUUUAACAAAAACUUAAAGUUUUGAAAAUAAACUUUUAUGGAAUUUAUGUUCUGAACUUGAUGAUAUAUAUACAUGACUGAUUUCGAACAGAAAUAAGCAUGAUAUAGUGGUUAUAGUUCUUGUAUUCAUGACCAACUUGUUAGACCUUCUGUUAAAGAACUUGUUCAAGGCAAAGCUUGUUAUAUCAAAGCAAAUAUGCAUGAAUACUACAUGAUGUACAUUCUGAUCUUAAGAAGAUGUUAACAUGACUUAACUACAGAUGAUAAGAGUUUUAAAGUUGUCGUGUAUGUGAUGUAUUGCAUCAUUCAAGUUUAAAAUAAUUUCAAAGAUAAACUUGGAUAUAUUUUUUUAAAAACCAAGUUACAUUAAAUAUGAGUAUUUAGAUUCUAAAGAUUUAAGAUGUCAUGUUUAUGUCUCUAAACAUGGUUCUUGUGUGUUUGAUAUACUGGUAGUAGACUAAGCAUGAGUUUAAGUAUGUUUUUAAAGAGAUAUCAAUGCUAGUUAUGAAUAAAUGAUAUGAACACUAUGAUCAUAUGUAUUAAUAGAUUAAGUGAUCUCUAUGUGGACAUAUGGCUAAGUUAUAAAGUAUGGUGACUACAUGACCUUUUUAUGCUUUAAUUCUAUGUAAAUCGUAAACUAAAACUUGUAAAAGUGAACUCAAGAAUGGUCAUAUGUGUAUGUGAAGACCUCUAGCACAUAUGCAUGUUAAUUGUAAGUGUAUAUGUAUAUUAAAGUUGGACUAAAAUAAGGAGAGCAGAAGCUCAACUCUGGCCAGGUUAGAGGACAGCGCAGCUGCGCUAUCCCUAAGCCUAGCCAGGGCACAACUACGCCAUCCUGCAGUCAGUUAUGUAUUCUAUUUUUGGUCUGAAGUUUGAGGCAUGCUUAUAUGGUUACUUUAACUUGUAUUAUAUGACUAGUAUGCUAUGUAAUGUGUUAAGGAGCAUGAUAAGUGUGACGCCCCCAAAUCCGAGUUACCUGACAGCCAAGUUUGGUGCUCACGAUCCACAAUAUAAAUAACAUUUAACUACCCAUUUAAUUAUGAAUAGACAUAUAAACCACAUUAACUGAUAUAGUUAAUACAUUCGUCCCAGGUUAUCUAACCUUUAUAUUAUAAACAUACCCUUUAGAUAUACAAAAAGGAUUUACAAAAACAACAUAAUAUAUAUGUUAAACACAAUUAUCACAGCAUAACACCUUUGCCUUUUAUCUUCACAGCUCCUCUAGCUUCUCCGUCCCUAGCUAAAAUGUUUUAUUUAGCAAGGGUGAGAAACAAAUUUGCCCCGCAAGUUAAGAUAUACAAUAAAUGUAUCAAAAUCAAGACAAUAAACUAUCUAAUUCGAUAGAAUGACUCCAAAGUUCGGGGAACUUUGAAAUAGCUGAACAAUUUGUUCUUCUCUAAGUAAUCUUCUCGUAACCUAUGCAACAAAUUAACGAAAGUAUACAAUGCUUUCAAUGUUUCUACGAUAUUCUAAUGAAUAAUCAAGAAUCAAUUCUACGCAAUAGCAAAGUGGAAUGUUUUCCAGAUUUAUGUUGAGUGAUCACACAAGAUCUAGAACUUCUCUUCUGAGGUAGAUAUCAAAGAUUUACUUUGAUAUAUACUCAGGUGUAUCAGAUAACCAUAAAGAUUAAAUCAUACCCCUCUGCAAGUAUAACAAGUGAUCAGCUUUAUUAUACCCUUAUAUUAUGCAUAAUACUUAAACAUAGCGCGCAAUAGUCGAAUUUAUGACCAAUAAAAUGUUCCAUUUAUAUAAAAGGUUGUUCUUCUCAGUCUCAUAAUUAAGAUUUGAUUCAACAACGAAAUUUAAUGAUUUCAAUAUCUAAUCACUUCUCUUCUCUCUCAAAUCUAUCAAGUUUUCUUUUUUGAUCUAGCCGAAACAAUUGGCAUCGACCUAUCAAUAAUAUUUGAAUUUUCUUCUUUUCUCUUCUCUUCUCAACCUUAUCAGGUUUUAACAAAUGUUCGUCUUGCCAGAACUGUAGCGCCCCCAAAUCUGGGUCCUAAAUCACAACGGAUCUGGUACACUAGUUCUAACUAUUGCGGAAGAUAUAAACAUAAAUUAUUUAUACAUUAAACAUUAUAUACGAAUCCCAAGGUCGAGUAACCAUAACUUAUACACAAUUCAUUAUCCUAUCUAACAUACAAAGAUUUUAUUAUACAUUAUUGUUACCAAUCUAUCUGCACAUGUAAACUAAAGUUGGAAAUGUCUUUAACCUUUCCUUGUAUCCGACGCAUUCACCUUAAUCUGCAAUGUUUUAUCAUGAUAUAGCAAGGGUGAGCAUGAAGGUUGCCCAACAUGUUUAUAUUUUAUUUAAGGAUAUAUCAUAAUUGAAAGAGUCUGAAUAAUAAGCUGGCUAUAAUUCAACAAUGUAGUUGUGAAUUAGCACGAAUAAACUUUUGACUGAACAAGUAUUAAACAUGAACAAAUAUAUCUGAACCGAACGGUAAUGAAGGUGAUCAGCCUUUCAUACCUGACUUAUACAUGCAAUAUGUACAAAGUACAAUUCUACAAUGACAAUCAGCAAUGAUUAACCAUAAGUAUAUCUGAAUGAAACAACUCUUAGUAGAGUUAAGAAAAACUUGCCUGUUUCGUUGAUUACCAUUACGAAAUAUAACUUAGCUUUAUUCGAAGACCCAAUAUAGAUAAUACCGAUCUCCAAAUAUUAGAAUAAUAUUAUCACAGUAUAAAAUAACCUAAACACAUUACCACAUAAUCCUAUCAGUCUAUACAGCACAUAAGACCUAGUAUUAAGUCAAACUAUUACAGUCUGAGUUGAGUUCAGUACUAUUCCGACAUCCCGAUUGCCUAAUCGAACAAAAAUCGAGGUUAAGUUCAAUUAAACUCUACCUAAACACUUAACAAUUAUCUUAGGUAAUUUAUUAAUCAGUCAAAAUAAUUUUCAUAGGCCCAUAAUAAUUUUCAGAUAAUUAUUACUAUUUAUCAUGAUUUUUCAAUCAUUAAUAUCAUAUUUAUAUGAUUUAAAUACCACUUAAUUCUAUUAUCAUUAAUAUUUAUUUAAUAUUAAAUAUUAAUGAAAUCCUUAACAUAAUAUUAUAAUAUAUUUAUAAUAUCUCAAAGUAUUUUUAAUACUUUAUUAUUACCAUUAAAUGAUUUUAAAGUAAUUAAAACUAUUAUUAAUUAUUUGCCAUUAAUAUUAGAAUAUUAAUAUUUUUCAUGACAAAAUAUCAAAAGUUAUAUUUUAUAACUUAAAAUAUUUUUAUAACACUUAUAUUAUUUUUAUAUAAUUUUUAAAGCAUAAAUUCUAUUUUUCCAUAAUUUAUUUAAUAAAUUAAUUACCAUUAAUAUUAAUUUAUUAAUGAAAUUCAUCACAAAAUAUUAAAAGUCAUAAAAAAUAACUUAAAAUAUUUUCUUAUACCAUAAUAUAAUUUGAAAUGAUUUUUCAAGUAUUAAAAUUAUUUUUAAAUAAUUUAUUUAAUAUUAUAAUUAAAUAAAUUAAAUACCAUUUAUAUUCCAAAAAUAUUAAAUAUNNNNNNNNNNNNNNNNNNNNNNNNNNNNNNNNNNNNNNNNNNNNNNNNNNNNNNNNNNNNNNNNNNNNNNNNNNNNNNNNNNNNNNNNNNNNNNNNNNNNUUUUAGGAAUUUAUUAUGUAUUUUUAAUAAUUAAAAACUAUUUUUAUCUAUUUAAUAAGUACAAUAAUUAAUUUUCAUAAAUAAACUGUCACUAAAGGGGCCUAUAGCGAUAGAACCGUCGCUAUAGAUAUUCUUGAGUGUUCUUAAGCCUUCAUGUCAGUGGACAAGGUGAUAGGGUUGACCAACUGUAAUUCAUAGAUCCGGAGAUAUCUGGGUUUGAUUAAGUGUUCAAAUUAUAGUGUUGAUGCAAUACUACAACCCUAAACAAACAGCAUGGCUAUCUUAUAUCUAAUCAGAGAGAUCUGGGCUCUCAAAGAUCUUGUCAAGCCUCAUCUGGGGUUUUUAGGUAAUCCAGAAACCUAGACGUUUGCGAGGUACCGCUUUGUGGUUCAAUUUUCUUAGUGUUCUGGUCAACGAAUCAAUGUUAUUAAGGUUCACAUAUAUAGUACACGUGACAAGGAACAUUUACAUGUCUUGAUCUCAGUUUAACAACAACGCGUUUUAAGAAAUCAAGGCUAGUCAAAGUCUGACAAAAAAAUGGUUCUUAAACAAAUCUGGAUUUUCCAGAUUGUUCAUCCGGCUGAUGGUCAACGGUUGUUUGACCGGCCAAAUCUCCUAUUCUGUUAUGGAUCUAAGUGAUCUAAAGGUUUUAGCAUGAAGUCUUCAAAUCAGUCUACAACAACAAAACAAUAACAUGGCCAAAACAUUAUCAUAGAGCAAGAUCAAGGGCUUUAAAAAUCUUGUCAGACCACCUAGAAAAAUUCUGGGUUGCCCAGAUUCAAAUUUUCGUGCUCGGUCAACGCAUUUUGACCGAUCAUAUCUUUCAAUAUAAACAUGAUAUGGGCUUGCUUCAAGUUUCAGAUUAAAGCCUUUGCUACAAAGAAUAGAUCUAUAACAUCAAACACACCAAAACAUUAACAGGAAAAGAUCUAAGGCCUAUGACAUAUGGAUGUCAGGCCAUAUUUUUAAACUUUUCCAGAUUUUUGAAAUCUUUAAAUUCUUGCAUCCAGAUGUUAUAGAUCCUUGAUCUAAUAACCCAGAUCACUUAUUAACAUCCUAAUACACAACAUAAAACAAUAAACCACAAAAUCUAACAUAAGAUCAUAUGAUUUACAAAAUUUAGGGUUUAUACCUCAUUCAUGCUUUGAUCUUGAAUCUAAUCUUUGUGAUCUGUUCCUGGCUUGCUAAUGCUCUUACUAGUGACUGAUUUACUUAAUAUUUUCAUGGCUAAGGAGAGAGAAAAGUUUGGUUGAGUGUAAGGAUGCAAAUGAGCUUAGUUUUAUGACUUUCCCUCUCUUUGAUCUAUAUAUAAAAUGAUGAAAUGUCAAGGGCUGAUCAUGUGAUCAGUUGUUGGCUGAUUAAAGUUGAUUUCUAGGCCACAAGGCUAGCUUAGGGUUGGUCACCAACCACAAGUAGGGUUAGAUCUACACUCCACCUCAUUAAAAUAUUAAAAAGGGUAGUUUGGUCAUUUGACUUAUAAAGUGAAUGGCAACAUGGUAACUUCUCACAACUAUUAGGUUUUGACCCUUAGGGUUUAACACUAAGGUUACAUAAAUUUAUAUUCUAGGCUUUUCUAAUUAAGUUUUAAAAAUAGAAAAUUAAGAUUUCUAAAUUAUAAUUAGGAUUUCCUAAUUACAUUAAAAUUUCCUAAUCACAUUCAAGCUUGCCAAUUAAGGUUAAUAUUUCUUUAAUUAAAAUUGCUAAUUUAGCAUCUAGGUUCCAUAAUUGUACAUUAGGGUUUCCAGUUGAAUAAUUAGGGUUUUCUAAUAAUCAAUUAGGGUAAUCCCUAAUUAAAUAAAUAACAUAAAAACCUUAACACUUAUCUUCAAGCUUCCCAAUUAGGGUUUUAAUAUUCUGAAUUAGGGUUUCAGAUUCUCAGAACUGAAAUUAGGGUUUUCAUAGCCGGUAAUAGAGUUUCUUAUCAAUCGUUAGGGUUUUCUAACUGAACGUCGAGGUUCUUAAUAUAUUAUUAGGGUUUGUGACUGAUAUAAUUUAUCCAGUCAACCCUUGACCCUUAACCACAUACUAUACACACAUAUGACCAUAUACACAAAUACUCUUAACACUGUAAACCUUCACCAAAAGUUUUUAAAUUCACAAAAUUCAUUCCCAAAAAUGUCAAAUACAUACACUUAUUUUCUGUCUAGGUUUAUUAUUUAACCUCUAUUCAAUCUUUUAAGAGUUUAUUAAAUUGUCAAAAUUCUCGGGUUGUCACAAGAACAAUUGGCUAAGACAUUUCUCAACAUGACUUAACAAUAGACAAAAUUUGACUGUACUAUUUGCAAUCACUAAUAGCUUCUACGGAUGUAAGUAUCCAAUAACAAUUAUUCUACAAAUAUAUAUUCUCAAAAUCACUAAUUCAAUUUGAAUUAAUAAACCUACACUAACUGUGAAUAAUCAACAAUAAAUUCUCAGGCAUAGCUUAUUCACAAUAAUUAACCACCAUAAUAUUUGAAAAGAUAUAACUCAAGGUUGAGUUAGGAAACUUCCUUCUCCGUUGAUUACUGCUACACACUAUACUUAUCUGCGUUCAAAUGACCUAUAAUCAUAAUAUCAGUCUCACAAUUAUCACGUUAAUUCACAACACACAAUACUGUAAUUUACAGUCAAUCUUUCUCCUAGGCACAUUAGCACAUAGUCACAUUAGUGUUUAUAACCUAUAUAAACACUUAACAAGUCUAUCUAGUUCGGUCUGAUUGGACUUUGGUCUAUUCUCGGUGUUCUGGUCACCCUAUCUGACAAUUAACACAUUGAUUGUCAACUAAACUCGAUCUCUAAGUUUCAAUAUUAUUUUAAAUAAUUCAAAUAUCAUUUAUAAUAUUUUUCGGAAGCUUUUAAUAAUUUUCUAAAAAUUAUUAUAUUUUAUAAUAAUUUUUCAAACACUGAAAUUAUUUUUAAAUGAUUUAAAUAUCAAAUAAAUCCAUCAUCAUUAAUAUUUAAUAAUAUUAAAAUAUUAAAGACAUACCUGUCAAAAUAUUAAAAUUAUUUAUAAUAACUUAAAAUAUUUUUAAAUCACCAAUAUUCUACUUAAAUGAUUUAUAAAGUAAUUAAAAUCAUUUUUAAAUUAUCACCAUUAAUAUUUAAAUAUUAAUGAAAUUAUCAUCAAAAUAUACAAAGUCAUUAAUUAUAACUUAAAAUAUUUUUAUAUCACUUUUCUCAUUUUUUAAUAAUUUUUAAAUUAAUAAAACCUUUUUACCAUCAUUUAUUUAAUUUAAUAAUUAAAUAAACCUAAUAUCAUAAAUAUUAAUUUAUUAAUGAGAAUUCGCUAAAAUAUUGAAAAUUAUAUUUUAUAAAUUAAAAUAUUUUCUAACACUUUAUUCUCAUCUAAAAUAAUUUUUAAUAUAUUAAAAUCAUUUUUCUCUAAUUUAUUUAAUACACUAAUUAAAUAAAUUAAAUAUCCUUAAUAUUCAAAUAAAUAUAAAUAUUAAUGAAAAAUAUCCCAAAUACUCAAAAAUUAUUUUUCAUUAUUUAAAAUAAUUUUUAAAACCAUUUUUUUGUAUUUUUUAUAAUUUAUUUUCUAUAUUUAAUCAUUUUCCGGAAAUUAGGAAAAUAAAAUUAAAUAAACCGUCGCUAUAGGCCUGUAGCGACACUUGUCUGUCAUCUUAGUUGUUCUUGGCUCAAGAACACUGACAAGGUCAAUGUUCAAGGUGCUCUGUUUGACCGAAUAUAAUUCUCUUCCCAAAUUGUUUUUGGGCUACCUAAAGCUUCAAUCAUGUAAUAAACAUGUAGUACUACAAGUUCUAAUCCUCACUUGAACCAUUUAAUCACACAUCAUGAAGAUCUAAGCUCACAAAGUUCUUGUCAGACGGUUUCUGGGUUUUCCCAGAAACCCAGCAGUCCGAGUGGACACUUUCAAGAUUAAUUUCCUAUAAUUAGUUCCAGCCUUGAUUCAAGUAAUAUAAUGGUUCCUAUAUGAAGUCCUUAUGUCAUAGAACAUUCACAAAGCAACAUAUCAGUUUAACAACAACAGGAUUACAAGAUAUGAUCCGGUCAAAGGCUGUCAAAACUAUGUUCUUUACAGUUUAUGGAAAUUCCAAAAACUGCAAAACGUGACCGAGUGGCUUGGUUUGACCACUCAUUACGUUCAAUAUAUUGAUGUUUUGAAGGGUCUAAAUACAUGGAUCUAAAGUCCAUCGUACAAGCUACGAACUGAACUGCAUAUAACCAUAUCAUUAUAUCACAUAAAUCCUGACAGUUCUUGGCUUGGCAAAGUGUUGUCAGACGCUAGUUACACACUUUCUAGGUUACCCAAAAAGUGUUGGUUAUGCUCAGUCAACUCUCUUUGACCAUCAAUAAAAUAAAAUCUGGACAUGUAAUGGUUGUGAUUUCACUUCCAGAUUACAGUCCUCAUGUCAAACAACAAAUCCAAAACAUAAAACAAGAAAAAUCACAAACAUACAGAGAUCUAUGGCUACUGACAUUUGCUUGUCAGAGCACUAAGAAUGCUCAAGAAUAGUUUUUGAAAACAUAAAUUUUUAACCACUUUGAUGCUAUGGAUCCAUGAUGGAUCAACAUAGAUCAUCUAAAAACAUCUUAUAACACUUAUAAAAACAUAAAAACACAAAUUUUGACAAAGCCUACAAGAUCAAAGUGAAGUAGGGUUUUAUACCUUUCUAGCCCAAAUCUUUGAUCUAUGCUCUUCAAUCUGACUUUAGGUGUUCUAGGAGGUUAAUAAGUGACUGAGGAACUUGUUAAAUUCGGAGGUGUUGAGAGAGAAUGAGUUACUGAGAGCUAAGUUGAAAAAUAAGCUAAAUGUAGUAAUUUUCUCUCUCUCAAAUCUAUAUAUAUCAAGAUAUAUUGCUAGAUUUGAUGCUAGCUGUCAAUUGGAGGCUGAUUGCUAAGAUUUUAGAAGUCACAAAGUCAAGUGGUUAGGUUACCAACUCCAAUAUUUGCUAGAUUUGCAAAACUUUGUCCACUAGGUAGUCAUGUCAUUGGAAAUACUCCUUGUGCCAUAAAAGCGAGUACAACUUCGAAGCCAUGGUACGAUGAGCUGGAGAAGAUAGAACAAGAGAGUGUUGUGUCCGACAAACCUCAAUGACAGAAUAUAUUCGCAGACACAAUGGAGAAAACACCUAGAUGUUGGACGUUCUUGAAUGUGAUCUUAGCUAAAGAAAGCAUGCUAGGUGACUUUAAUACAAUUGAUAUCACAAAUGGGAACCUACCAAAAGCUAUAUUAUUUUCGAUGGAUGGAGGGUUCCUCAACUUUCGAAGAGGAAUUGGUUAGUGUUGACAAGACAAAGUUAGGCUGAAAGACUGUAAAUCAAGCGCUGACUGGGAGGCAACCCAGAAAUUUUUUAUUUUUUUUAUAUUUAUAUGCUUUCCUAGUUUAUUUAGUAGAUAGGAAUCAUGUUAUAUUCUAAAGUGCUAAUCUAAUCCAUGUUGUCUCUCUUCAUUGCAAGUAUUGGAGGUUCAAUGGAUAGGAAAAUGAUCGUCACUGCCGUCGCCACCAUCACUUCACGCUUAGCUAAUUACAGGGAAGUUCUCUUCUACGUACCGCUAUAUUCUUACAAUGAGGACAUUGUAAUUGCUCAGUUUGGGGGAGUUUAGUUUAGUUCUUUAUUGCAUGUUUAGUUUCAUGUUUAUGUUAUGUUAUUUUGCAUAUGUUGUUAAUUUAGUUUAGGUUCAUUAUGUUUGCAUUCAUGUAGUACAACUGCAUAAGUAGUUUCAUAGUAGUAUAGUUUGAAUAGCAUUAUAUUCAGUUUCUUGUUAAAAAAAAUCAAAAAUAAUAGUUAGUUACUAUGUUCAUCUUGCAUGAUUACAGUUAUUAGAUGGUUCAGUUUAUUUUGGCCAAUGAUGAGAAUGGAAUUGAGUAGGCAAGUAUAGUACUGACUAUUAGAGCUUUGAUGUGUUUUCUUGUUAUAAACUGAAUCUUUUUCUGUUUGAAACUGGUAUAAUCAAGGUUAACACGAUAGGAACAACUAUGUUGACUGUUUAAGUUUAAAUUGGAAAAUAAUGGACUUCUUAAGGAUAAUAUUAGUUUGAAUGAAUAUAAGACAUGAAAAGGCGUAGAUGACUGAAUUUAGACAAAAACUUAAGUUUGGGUGAAAAAUUUGGGAUAUAUAAGCUUUAAAAAAAUGAUGAAUGAUGAAAAAGAUACCGUAACUAGUUUUGUUUCGGGACCUUUGUUACUUGAGCAAGUACACCCGAGGGAGUGUCUUUACACCUAGCGCCCUAAGGUCUUAUAUGGUCUGGGAGUCGUUGGUCGAAAUCUCGCUAAGGGGUAGCACUGUUAGCCUAAUNNNNNNNNNNNNNNNNNNNNNNNNNNNNNNNNNNNNNNNNNNNNNNNNNNNNNNNNNNNNNNNNNNNNNNNNNNNNNNNNNNNNNNNNNNNNNNNNNNNNAAUGAGACAUUUCACAGUCAUGGUUAUCAAAAAAAAAAGAAAAAAGAAAAAAAACAAUAAGACGAGAAUAGUUCAAAAAGCCCCGUAAUGCAAAGUAAAGCAUAAGUAUCCCGGAUUGGACUUUUGAACUUGGUGGAUGUUUGAAUUUUGUUGGAUUUAGCUUGUUCGUGAAUUUUGUGAGUUUGCACUGUAUGAUUCCUUUAAAGAGAUCAAUUAUGUGUUGUAUUUAGCAUUAUAUCAGUUAGCAUGGAUGUUGAGCACACACGCACUAUACCAGUAAUAACAGUUUAAGACUUGAUGAUUGACUAGGAAAUUGUUGAUUGGUUUUGAUAUGAAGUAUUGUCGUGUUUGCUUGAUUGCUCUAAGGCCGAGUGAAUAGAUUUGAUUCUAUCAAUACUGCUGGAUUCGUAAGCAUAUAGAUGAGUUGCAUUUCAUUUCAUUGCAUUGCAUUGCAUUAUGUUGUGUUGCUUGGGGACAAGCAAUGGUUUAAGUUUGGGGGUAUUUGAUAAGUAGAUUUUAUACUUACUUAUCCGGUAUCUUUUACUUGAAUUAGUUGCUUAUAUUCAUGUGACUUAGUUACUUUUCAUGCAUUUGUGUUCAUUUUGUAGGUUAUAUGUUUGGGAGCGGUGUGAGCGACUAUUUGUAAGGAAAAGCAAGGAAAUCGCAAAGAAAAGCAAAUCAGACAUCAUUUGGGCUUUCAUGUUCAAUUCAUGUCAUUGUCUUGGAACUUGGACUAUAUUUUAGAGCUUCUUCUUAGCUUUCCGGAAUAUCUUGAAUCAUUCCAAUCGGAGUUCGGAUGCAAGAGUUAUGACAUCUGUACCAACGGACGUUGAAUUUCACUGUUUUGGGUGGUCAUUUGCAUAACAGUCAGUUCCAGUCCAAUUUCGACCUUCCUCCGUUCCUUAUUUCUCAAAACUCAAAGAAUGAAAGUUGUAGAGCUUGGCGAUAGCUUCGAUUUGAUAGGUGGCAGGCCCCGUAACUCCUCCCGGAUCAAAGGUUAUGACCAUUUUACCAGAAGACACUGCAACAGAAAAAACAAUUAGCAGCUUGCACCCAAGCCGAUGCUUGGGGUCCUGAGCUCAAAAUCAGUAGCAUAGCAAGCCGGGCCUUGCUAUUUACAAGGAAAUACCCAAGCUGGGGCUUGGGUAUGCGUAGAAAAGGCAAUUUUAACUAAAAUUUGAGUCCAAGAGGGAUUGUUUCGAGAUGAUUGAUUCAAGGCUUCUAAGAGGACUUAAAGACUUAUGAAGAGGCGUAUAAAAGGAGGAGAAUCACAAGGAUUAAAAGAGGAAUAGAGGAAGAAUUCUAUUAGAUUAGUUUAUAUUAGAUUAGGAAAAAAUCCUAUUUAUUAUGAGAUUUGAAGAUUGAAGUGACUUGGAGACCAUUGAAGAUCAAGAGCAGGAGCUUGAGGAAGAUGGAGAUUUGCUGACAAUAGAUUUAUUCUUCACUCUACUUCUAUUUUUAUCUUUUAAUGUUUAUUCAAGUGUGUAUACUUAGUUUUAAUUCAAUGAACUAAUUCUUUGUUUGAGAUUACAAUGGAUCUUAUUGUGUAAUUUAUUUUAAUAUGUUUUUUUUUAUCAAUUAUUGUGAUCUAUCAUUGUGGAUUGUCUAUUGUGAUUUGGACUUAAUUGCUUAAUUGCCUAACUAACAAUUACCGUGAUAAUCUAUAUGAACUCGAGAGAUGAAGUAUAAAUUUAGAUUUGAUCAUGAUAGCAUAUGUUUGUGAUUUCUGCAUAGAUGGAAUUCAUGAUUCGUGUUUAGGAUAGAGAUAUGUCUUUACGCCAUAUGUAAUCUUAUAGAGAACUUGUGCUUUAAAUCCUUUUUAAUUUUAAUUCACAUAGAGAUAUAGUGGAUUAGUUAAUUAGGGUGUCUUGCUUAAUUCUAUCAAUUGUGGAUUUAAGUGAGUAUGGGUAUUAUGCAUCGAGAGGUGGUUUUAUCUGCUUUAGUGUUCUUGAUUAACAAUUCAGGAUAGAAAAUAAUUGAUGAGAAGUGUGUUAACUUAAAUGAAGCAAUAAGUGAAGUUGUGAUCUUAAAUCUCCAUAAUGUGAUUUAUAAUUAGUGGUAAUUAGAAUUAGUUUAAUUAAGUAAUUUACUUUAUAACAUUAAAUUGAUUGUUUAAAUAAAAUUAGUUUGGUUAAAAAUUAGUAUUUGGUAAUUUGUAUAAUAAUUCCUCGUGGGAACGAUACUCUACUUUCACUGUAUUACUUGUUGACCACGUAUACUUGCGUUUUGUGCGUAAUUAGAUUUUACCCAACAAUACGUUAAGAAGGGUCCGUAUAGUCUAAAUGACUGUUAAGGUUGGGUAAUAAUACCUAAGCACCGGGGACAUAGUUCGUGGUCUUAGGACCCUUAGAUAAUUAAAGUUCUAACUUGUUUUCUAUUUUGAUUUGUAGAACAAGUUUCUUAUUGUUCAGCGUUCGUUGUUCACUCUCAUGUUACUAUCAUUGCUACUUUCUAUAUCAGUGAGCAAUUGUUUGCUCACUCUUGCAUUUAACACUGCAGCUAAAGUUGAGAAAGUCGAUGAGCCGUCUACUAGCAAAGGAAAGGGCAAGAUGUCCAAAUGUUGAAGACAUAUGAUAAUUUUAUUUUAAUGAAUUAUGUUAAAGACUUGUUUUAAUAUAUGAUGUAUUCCGCAAACUGAUGUAAUAAUUUUAAGGUUAUAAUACCUGGAAUUUAUUUUUAGAUGAUGAUGUAACCCUUUAAUGGGAAAGACACUACACCAAAAAUGGCCUCUAGUGAGGGACAAAUCCUUCACUAGAGGCCCUAUAUCAUUCACAAGUAAUUUAUUGCAAAAAAUUAUUUCCUUCACACAAGUGUUCGCAUUAGACCUCCUCGCAAUUGUGUAUCCUUUGCUAAAUAGUAACUAAAUAUUUUUUGUGAAUAACUUUUUUAUUCACAAAUUGUAUUUAGUAAUGGAAUAUUGUUAUUUAGUGAAAGAUUGGUUUUCUUCACAAAUAAUAUUUUAAAAAGGACUAUUUGAAAUUGGUGAAUAACUUUAUUCCCUCACAAAUAAUAUAUUGUGAAGAACAAAUUUAUUUAACGAGAGAAAAUUUUCUUUCACUAAUUAUAAAUUGAGAAUGCAUCUUCAAAUUAGUGAUAAAAAUAAUCCUUCAUUGAUGACUAACUAAUUAACUAGAAAAGAUUUAGUGAGGAAAAUAAUCCUUCAUUAAAAUCCAUUUCUCAAGUAAAAUCAUUCGCAAAUUAUAAAUUUAUAUAAAAAAAUUAAUUGAUAAACAAUCAAAAUUCAUUGCAAAUUAUAAUUAAUUUUUAAAUCAGUGAUUUCAUAUUUAUUAUUAUUAUUAAAUGCUAUAAUAAAUAUUAAAUUUAAUAUUUCAAGUUAAUAUAAAUGUCAUACUUGUUUCAAACUAAUUGAUAAACUGCAUAAAGAGUCAAAAAUUAAAACUAAUACUCCAUAUAUAAAUAGGUAAUACUCAAGUCACGAUAAGUACAAAAUUUGUUAUUGUAUCUUGAUCUCCCAAAGAUCAUAGUACUUAUAAUAUUUAAUAACUAACAUAAGAAAACUGAAAAAAUAACGAGCUAGAAGGAAUGAAAUGUACGUCCUAAACAGAAAGCAUUCCUCCAGCCAUACCAGGCAUGGAAACAUCUGGCAUGCCACGACCUGGUGGGUAACGAUAGACACGCCCCCUUGGAAGCAUCUAUUGUCCAAACAAGCCAUCAGAUGAAGAAGAAUGAAUAUGACUAUAAAUGCAGAAACUGGAAGGAAAACAUAAGUUAGACAUUCCACCAACCUGCUGCUGCAUUAGUGGAACAGGCUGUUGUGGUUGCUGCCCAGUAACAGAUUCGGUACGUCUUCCCCCAGGACGCUGACCUUACUGGCCCUGCUGAACCGGUGGCACAAAAUAAUUCGGCAUGGGAGCUCCACCAUGCCUCAUACCUGGAACAAGUUGCUGCUGAUAUCCAAAACCAGGCUGACAAGAGGAAAACAAACAACAAAAUUAUCAUAACUAUGAAAGAAUACAUCUCAAGGCUUUGACAAAGAGAACUAUGUUGUCAUGCAGUGAAGGCAUGUUCAAACUUCAAACAUAUUAAAAAAAUUCAACAAAUUAUUAAAAGUAGUGAUUAUUGUUUAUGUAAAUUCCUAAUGGUAACCUUUAAAUGGAACAGAAUGGAGUGCAACAUCCCUAGUUAUUCUGUCCUGAUAAUCUGAAGUAUCCUUCUUAUUCGUCACAACAUUAUGACAUCAUUACAUGUGGAAUAAGGAAAUCUAAACCCACAUUAAUAACAUAAAAAAGAUAUGAACAAGAACAUAAAUACAGAGUGAACAGUAGUAAAGUGUUAAAUUGGAUGGACUGGAAUUUAUCUGUUUGGUGGAUCUGCUUGCCAAUUCACAUGAUACUGGACUGGGGACAAAAUAAGUGAGAGUUUCAAACAUAAUAAAAAAAUUAUCCAACUAAAUUGGGAAACUCCCAUAUGGUGUUGGAUGUUCAGUGGAUUUUUAAACAGAAAAACAAAGACUGAACACUGAUAAUUUCUAAAAUCAAAUAGUUUUAACUAUUUUCGAAUGGUGACAAGGCUCUUAUUGUCCUCUGAACUCUUUUAUUUGUACAUUUUUCUUAGGGGAAGAAUUUGAUCCAUGAGAUCUAAACACAAAAUGAAAACCAAAAAUCUUCCACUUUAUUUGAUUAUUUUAAAAAAUAAAAAUAAAUUAUUACAUGUCAAUUUUACAUCUUUCUGCAACCUAACCAACUCAUGUUUAUCUUGUCUUAGCGAAAAUUAAGGAGUUGUUUAAGCUUAUAAAACCUUAAAAUAUUUAUGUUUACUUACUAUAGGGACCAAUUUAUUUAUCUUUUAAAAAUAACAAUAAACACAAGUGUAAUGUCUACCUUGAUUUCAGUUUGCAUACAACCAUGUAGAGCAACAACUGUGUAUCCAAAACGGCAAAGAACGGCUCCCAAUUUUACAUACUGCAUCCCAGGGAAUUUGUAGCAAUGUCUCAAGUGUCUUGGUUCCCACCUUGCAUGUAGUGCCUGCACCAUUUAAUACAAACACAUGCAAAAUAUAAAGAAUGUAUUGCAUAAAUUGGUAUUCAUUAUAAUUCCAUUGCAUUUACUAUACUGGAGUGUGCAUAUACGUGCACUUAUCAGGAAAGAACUUACCAAGGUCUCAUCAUAAUACUUUGAGUCCAGAACAUCUAUAUACCCCUUGUAAAUGGGAUCCUCCUCGGAUUGCCUUUGUUUAUUUCUGGCUCUUCAUCAUUGAAGUAUCUAGAGACGCAUGAUGAAAAGUUUCACAGUUAGUGAAUGAGCAUUUUUGCCAUCCAUUACAAAAAAACUAAAAGAUUUGUCUUGCUGAUAAAUUAUAUUGAUCAAGUAGACACGUGUUCAUUAGUCGAAAGAUCAUCAUCCUUGAAAUUUCACUAUUGAGGAAAUCAAUUGGGUGACUCAAAUGAUUAUAAAGUAACUAGGACAUUAGCAUGCUCAGCCAAGUGACAGGACUUCUAAAUACUUUAAUUCAAUAUAAUUGACAAGUCAAGUUUAAGGUUAAAAAAUAGAGAAAAAGAAAAAAGAAUUGGAAUAUAACAAAAUAUAUUGAAUUUUGUAUAUAUAUAUAUACACACACACACACACCUUCAAUUGAAUUGGAUAAUCCUUCAAGUUUGCAUACGGUGGAAUUAUGGAGGUCUUCUCCAGAUGAAUUUGGAAAUAUUAAGACGCUCAUGAAAAGGCAGGUACAACAACCAAUGGCGAUAGUGUAGAAACGCUCAUGUACAAUCUUUAAUACAUUAUCAACACGGUAGGUUGAAAUAGCAAACAGAUUAAAGGUCAAGAGGAAUAUUACUACGUUAUAAUCAAAGUUCUUUUUUAUAUAAGGGAAGAAUCUCACAUAUGUAGUUGAUGCCCCUGUCAAAUUUGAAAAUCUUCUAUUAACAAUAAAACUAUCUGGAUGGAUGAACGCCAGUUAAAGCAAGCCGACAAAAGAAUGCAAGUAAAAACACGUGUUUGAAUCCAUUAAAAUUAUUAAGCAAACUUCCUCUAGUUCAACAGAUAAUAUAAAGGAAGGCUUAAUAAGGAUUAUUAGGGAUGAACCAGAAGAUAUUAACAAAUAGCUCUCUCAUUACCCGUCAUCACCCCAUUCGGGAUGGAUCCUCUGGAAGUGGUCAAAAAUAGGCCACAAGUCCUUCUGCCUUAUUUCAAUCUCUUGAGUUGGAAGCUUUUCCAUUUCAAUCUCUCUGCCAUUAUGCACAAUACUGAGAUUUUCCUCUUCAAAUCCCAGAUAAUUCAGUGCAUAAAAUGAUAUCUAGAACAGAUGGGAAAAUCAUAAGCACGUAUUGGAAGACAUUCAUGUGAUGGGAGCAUUAAAGAUUGAGAACUGCAACAAAUACCUUGGACUUUUGCCAAACUUGUCUCCUUCCAGAUCUCAUCUGCACCUCCGUAUUUGAAAUAUAUGAAAUGGAUCGAUCAUGGGGUUUCAUCAUAUCCUUUUCCCCACUAUCAUGAUCUUCAUAAUCAGAAUUAUCCAUCACUAAUUCUGCAGCACCUUAUCUGCAAAGAGUACUCCGGCAUAUGAAUUCCUCUCUAUCAGGCCAAUCUAUUCUUUGGCAAACGUCCCACCAUUGAACAGGACCAACUGUCACAAUCUUAAUUGCAAACAAGGUUAUUCAUUAACCAUGACAGUUAUAGCCAACCAAAACAAAAUUAAAGAUAAAAGCUCACAUAUACUCACAUACAUAUGGUACCAGUUAGAUGAGAGAACUACAAAAUAGUUACAACUUAACAUAUGUAUAAACAUGUACUACACUUUAGUCAUAAAAGCAAAAGAGUGACAAAGUAUUUUUCAACUUCUAUAUUGCUGCAUUUUUUAUUUCACGUGUGAAUACAUGCUAAGGUUGAAUCAUGCAAAAUUUCUGUGAAUCAGUAUAGGUACACACCUUUUGGAAAAAUACUUAUAAAAUCUAAAACCAAACAUAAGAUAACAAAUCUAGUGAGUGAGUAAAGGAGAAGGUCACCACAGGCUACAUACUUCCUCCGCCUUAAAAUUUAUAAUGUACUUUCCCAAUCCCAGUGAAUGCAACAAGCCCUCAAAAGUAUGUUGUUCGUCAAUCUAUGUAGUAAAGUAACCAAUAAGAAAAGAAACACAUUAAGAACAUACAUUUAAUUAACAAACACUUCGUUAAUGAUAAGCAACAUGACCAAGAGGAAAAAGAAAAGGUAAUCAAGGGAAAUAGCUUUGUACUGUAUAUGAACUUUUGUGUACAAUGACACCAGGUGGAGGAGGUGUGGCUAGCAUGGGAGUCACGUGCUUUGCAGGUCCAGCAGCUACAACCAGUUUUGCCAUAUAAGAUGUUGUCCCCAUGGGCCUAGAGAGCUCAAGACCAUCUUUGCACAAAUAUGCAGCUGAUCUAACAUCAUCAUAUGCCCUGAUUAUUGGCCUUCUCCGUGAUUUUUCCUCAUUCCUUGGCAGUGAGGCACCUCUAGAAGUACCAAAAACUCCAUUUGGUGAUCUUCUCCUUAAACGAUUCAAUGUCCAGGGUGAAUAAGAAUUUUUUAAUGAACUUAUUUGAGGCAGGACGUCUACACCUCUUGCAGAAGGGAUCCUCCCCAUUAUACUUGCGCCAGUAGAAUCGAGUAAGCGUUAUCUAUCAUCCCUUAUCUCGGGAAUGUGUUGUCUAUCAACCCUUGUCUCAGGCAUUCGCUCUAUAACCUCCCUCACCUCAGGAAUCCGCUCUAUAACCUCCCUCAUCUCGGGCAUCCGUUCUCUAACCUCUCUGGUCUCAAGCAUCCUCUGUCUAACAUCCCUAGUCUCGGGCAUCCUCUGUCUAACAUCCUUGAUCUCUGGAAUCCUCUGUCUGACAUCCCUAGUCUCUAGCAUCCUCUGUCUAACAUCCCUGGUCUCUGGAAUGUGUUGCCUAACAUCCCUUAUUUCUGGCAUUAGUUGCUUAACUUCAUUUCUAUCAGGCAUGUACUGUCUACUAUUCUUUUCCUUGGGCCUGAGCUGCUGCAUACCUAGACUAGUUAUUGAGGGUUAGGCUGGCCCUGAUAGCAUUUCACGUAGGUCAACUCCAUUUUGCUGGCCAUCACUUUGAGUUUGCUUAUUUCCGCUUUUACACAAGAUUUUGUAUCGGAGAUCAUCUUUGCGAAGAUGCACAUCUUUAUGUAUUCAAAGGCAACAAAAUGAGAAAUGAUAAUUAGAUCAAAUUUUAAUAAUACAACAUAACAAUAAUGCUUAUUAGCUAGUUACCAUCUAUGCUAUCAGCAGAACUUGUGCUCAAUCUAUUAUUGUCGCCCCGAUGCCUGCCAAAAUGUGUACCAAAGUAAAGAUAACUGCUAAAAUGGCAUAAGAUGCCCAAAAAAUAUUCAAGUUCAGCUAAAUAUUCUCAAAAUUUAAAGGAAUCAAUGAGAUUGGACCCCAAUAAUCUCAAUAAAGUUUAUGAUCCUAAAAGACCACACCCCUUCUGAUUUCUACCAUCUACCUCAGAUAUCAGCAUUAGAUUGCACAAGAUCUAACUAGCUGGAAAAUUAUUCUAACAAUUCAGGUAGGAACAUAAAAAGGUCCAAUUUAUGUUCCUAUGCAUGAGGUUGUCAUGUAUCAUCAUGAUGUCCCCAAGUGUUCCUUCAUCCUAUCGCUAGAAUGUAAGUGUAGCCUCAGCACCAAAAGUGUAAGUGUAGCCUCAACACCAAGAGUGUAAGUGUAGCCACAACAUCAAGGAAAAACUUGAGCAUUGGAGAAGGUAAUGCACACGCAGAACACCCAAUUAAUGUGCAGAACACAUGUCAUCUAUAAAUUCUUUUAUAAAACUCAGCAACAAUCUUUGAAGAUGCGCCUCACAAAAACAUGAUGGAUAGUAAGGCAGGUGAUUACAACUUUGAACUUAAUCAAGCUACGGAACUCAAUAACAAAUGUCCUUCAAGCAGAAUUUAGGUAAUAGACAAGGAGCUUGUCGACAUCUGUAUACUAUAUGUGGAGUGGAAGAGCAACCUUCACAUAAUAAGCACAAUGGCAAUGAUCCAGCGAUUUAAAAUGAUAAAGAAGCUGACUAAAGCAAAGGUCAUUCUCAAGAAUAGGUUCAAACAGAACUAUGCAAACCAAAUAAUAUGUCUGAACUUUGGUCCCACUAGAAAGAAUCCUACAUAUAUAAGAAUAUUGUCUAGGCUAAGCUAUGAAUUUAAAUGUGACAACUUAUUAUUUUGAUGUUGUAUCCUGGCGUCAAUUGUGCAGUUUGUUUCUAAGAAUCUCAGACUUUAUGGUUAAGCCUUCAUAAAUUUAUGUUUUUUUCCCAUUGCUUUGUAGAUGAAAGAGCACAUUCCCUUCCUUAAAUUUUUAUAAGAUUAUUCAAUUAGCUUACUAUGGAGUAACGCAUAAAAACAAACACGUAUACACCCUCACCAUUCUAACUAUGACACAAAAUCAAAUACAUCCACAGAAUUUCCAGCUUGAGUUACAGCUUAUAUGGAAAGAAAAUCUUACAAUUCAAAAUCUAUUACUCAACAGUAGAAAUAUGCCUAAGUUUUUCACUCUGGGUAAAUAAUAGGAAAAAUUAUUAUUCUCCGCUAUAAAUCACUAUAUACAUAGAGAGUUGAGCUAAGCCUUAAUAAUGGAAACUCAAGGGAGGGAGGGAACAACACACCUUUUAUUGUUGAACUCCAUAUUAGUUCCUAGUCUAUGACGGAUAGAUCUCUUACUUCCAUCAGUUGGAUGUGAAUUAGAAAAGACGUUAUCCAAUUCAUCCCCAGCCCUCUUUAACACCUGUGAAACUAAUGUAAAUACUCACAACUCAAUAAUAAACACACAACUAUUCAAUCAGAAAUAUUGAUUCAACUCUUCGAAAAUUACCCCAAUUUUAUUCAACUACUUGCAUCAAUGUUGAUAAAACAUUAAACUUUAUGAACAUAACACUAGCUAUAGUUGCAGCAAUUCAAUGAAACAUUCAGAUAGAACCGAAUAUUACUUAGUCAUCAAAAACUUAUGGCAAAAGUUUGUGCAUUUUACAACUAGAAGAAAUAAAACCCUAUCUAAUGGGUAAAUAGUGAGAAAGAGAGAAAUUAAUUAAAAGAGGAUAAUUGUACCUGACCACUACGUCCGAGAGUGAUUGUGACUUGAGACCUCGAAGUCUUUACCAUUUUCUAUGGGAUUCAGAAGCUCCAAAACCUUAAUCAAUCAUUUAUAAGCCAAAAUUUGAAAUGUAGACAUCAUAUAUGGAUCAAUUGCAGAGAGCCCCCUAAGCAGCCUGAGAUUAAAAUCAGUAUCGAGAACGACGAGCAAAAAAAGUUGCAGCUAUUAGGGUUUAGUUUUUAGCAUGUGAAUGUGUGUGACAGAGAUGAAUAGGUGUUUGUGUAAUUGUGUUUGUGCUUAUGUGCGCUUGUCAAUACAAUAAUGAAAAAUUGAAGGAAAAUAAUCAGAGUUAAUGGGAAAAUAACAACACAGGGAAAGGAUUGAGCGAAACCUUGAUCUCGCUUGAUCUGGCUUGCUUCCUAUCUCGCUUGCUUCCCUUUCUCGUACGGGUCACGCACGCUACUUUACUCUUUCUUCUUUUUUUUUUGAAACAAGCACAGUACUGUAUUUCAAAUAAAUAAAGUUAAGUUUUUUUUGAUUUUUUCGUUUAGUACCGAACUAAUUAAAAAUAAAAUUAAAUAAUCCUAAAAUCUUUCUUAAUUAAAGCCCUCCCAAAUUGUUAUUUAACUGAAUAUUAAAUACAAUACCAAAAAAUAAAGUUACUUUAAAUUAAUCUCCAAAAGAUUUUUUUGGAUUAAUAUUAUAUACUUAAAAUAAAAUUUAAAGUCUUUUGAAUUAUUUAAUUUUAUUUUUAUUUAACUUUAACUUUAUUUAAUUAUGAUCAUAAAAAUAAACUUUUAUGGAGAAAUUUUAAAGUUUAACAUAGUGUAAAGUUAUUUACUUUAUAGUUUAUUUAAAUAAAUAGUUGAUAUUAUAAGUUACUUAAAAAGUAUUAUUAAAAUUAAAUUUACUAUUGUAAAAAAUUUAAGGUAUUUAUAUUCACCACAAUUAAAUCAAAAAAACUUAUUUAGAACAAGAUAGCGACCAAUUUUAUCCCUCGCAAAAAAUUUCUGAAUAAUGAUAUUGAUUAGUAGAUUUUAUACCUACUUAUCUGGUAUCUUUUACUUGAAUUAGUUGCUUAUAUUCAUGUGUCUUAGUUACAUUUCAUGCAUUUUGAGUUCAUUUUGUAGGUUAUAUGUUUGGGACCGGUGUGAGCGACUAUUGGUAAGGAAAAGCAAGGAAAUCGCAAAGAAUUGGUAGGAAAACGCAAAGAAAAGCAAUCUAGACAUCAUUUGGGCUUUUAUGUUCAUUUUAUGUUCUUGGCUUGGAACUUGGACUACAUUGUAUAGCUUCUUCUUAGCUUUCCGGAACAUCUUGAAUCAUUCCAAUCGGAGUUUGGAUGCAAGAGUUAUGACAUUUGUACCAACGGACGUUGAAUUUCGCUGUUUUGGGUGGUCAUUUGCAUAGUAGUCACUUCCAGUCCAAUUUUGACCUUCAUCUGUUCGUUAUUUCACAAUUCUUUAAGACUUAAAGUUGUAGAUCUCGUCGAUAGCUUCGAUUUGAUAGGUGGCAGGCCCCUUAACUCCUCCCGGAUCAAAGGUUAUGGCCAUUUUACCAGAGGACACUGCAGCAGAAAAAACAAAUAGCAGCUUGCACCCAAGCCGGUGCUUGCUCUUCUAAGCCUUAUACCCAAGCCGGAGCUUGUGGUCCUGAGUUCAAAAUCAGAAGCAUAGCAAGCCGGGGCUUGUUAUUUACAAGGAAAUACCCAAGGUGGGGCUUGGGUAUGCGUAGAAAAGGCAAUUUUAACUAGAAUUUGAGUUCAAGAAGGAUUGAUUCGAGUUGUUUGAUUCAAGGACUUCCAAGAGGACUUAAAGACAUAUAAGGAAGCUUAUAAAAGGAGGAGAUUUAAAAGGAUUAGAAAAAGUUUUUGGAAGAAUCCCAUUAGAUUAGAUUAGAGUAGAUUGGGAAAAACCCUAGUUCUUAUUAGAUUUGGAGAUUGAAGCAACUUGGAGACCAUUGAAGAUUCAAAGUAGGAGCAAGGAGAGAGCAUCAAAUCUACAGACAAUAGAUUCUAUCUUCUUAUCUUCUUCUAUCUUUGUCUUUUAAUGUUUAUUCAAGUUUGGAUUCUUAGUUUUAAUUCCAUGAACUAAUUCUUUGCUUGAGAUUACAAUGGAUCUUAUUGUGUAGUUUAUUUUAAUAUGUUUUUUUUAUCAAUUACUGUGAUCUAUCAUUGUGGAUUUUGUAUUGUGAUUUGAACUUAAUUGCUUAAUUGUCUAGCUAACAAUUACCGUGAUAAUCUAUAUGAACUCGAGAGAUGAAGUAUAGAUUUAGAUCUGAUCAUGAUAGCAUGUAUUUGUGAUUUCUGCAUAGAUUGAAUUCAUGAUUCGUGUUUAGGAUAGAGAUAUGCCUUUAAACCAUAUGUAAUCUUAUAGAGAACUUGUGCUUUAAAUCCUUUUUAAUUGUAAUUCACAUAGAGAUAUAGUCGAUUAAUUAAUUAGGGUGUCUUGCUUAAUUCUAUCAUUUGUGGAUUUAAGUGAGUAUGAGUAUUAUGCAUCAAGAGGUGGUUUUAUCUGCUUUAGUGUUCUUGAUUAAUAAUUCAGGAUAGAGAAUAAUUGAUGAAAAGUGUGUUAACUUAAAUGAAGCAAUAAGUGAAGUUCUGAUCUUAAAUCUCCAUAAUCUGAUUUGUAAUUAGGGGUAAUUAGAAUUAGUUUAAUUAAAUAAUUUAAUUCAUAACAUUAAAUUGAUUGUUUAAAUAAAAUUAGUUUGGUUAAGAGUUAGUAUUUGGUAAUUUGUAUUAAUAAUUUCUCGUGGGAACGAUACUCUACUUUCACUGUAUUACUUGUUAACCACAUAUACUUGUGUGCUGUGCGUAACUAGAUUUUAUCCAACAAGUUUUUGGAGCCGUUGCCGGGGAAUUAGUUUAAUACAUUUUUGCCAAUAUUAGCUUCAAUCAAAUUAGUCUUAAUUUAAACAUUUUUUUCUUUUUCUUUCUUUAUAUUUUAUUUUAUUAUCUUCUUAUUUUUCUCUCAUUUCAGGUACAAUGGCUGGAUGCAAUUAUGAAAGGCCAUAUUCGAGUAUGUCUCAACCAAGGGGAGCGAGGAUUGAUGGACUCAAUAUAUUUUCUACAUUGUCAGCAGAAAUUGCAACACUUUCGGAGAGGUUGGAUGUUCUUGCAGCCCAACGUACUCGGGAGAUAGUAGUUACAUGUGAAUAUUGUGCUGGCUAGCAUCCGAGUUAUUAGUGCAACAUUAGUGUUGGACAAGUACAGUUUGGGGGUGAAUACCUCAAUAGCUAUGUUAAUCCUAAUUAUCAUCAAGGUUGGGGGUAUCACCUAGAUUAUGAAUGGAGUGAUAACUAUCAAGACCAAUACUGCAUUCCAAGUCCAACAUAUCCAUCAAAUUUCUCAAAUCCACCUCCAAUGCGACAAGAAGAUAAUUCAGAGUUGAAGGAAUUCAAAUUAAGGAUUAUAGCAGAAAAUGAAGAGAUGAUAAUGAGUCAGGAGUUAUCAACCCAAAAUCUUAAUAGACAGUUGGAACAACUCAUUAACUCCUCAAUAAAUGGUCCUCAAUACAUGGAUUUCGAAACUGAACAAGAUAAUUCAAGAUUGAAGGAUUUGCGGUUCAAGUUUGUAGCAUCAACUGAGGAGAAGAUGAUUAAGCAAGAGAGGUCAAUUCAAAAUUUGCAGAAUCAGAUGGAUUAAAUGUUCGAAGCGUUGAACAAUCGCCCUUAAAACAAUUUGUACUAUGACAUGGGUGAUGAAACGGAUGGAGAGCUAGAAGUGUACCUGCCACUAGAUGAACUGAAAGGAGUAGACAUUGAGGAGACAACUAGGGGUUUGGAAAAUGAAGAAUAUCAGAUCACCUAUAUUAUACCCCAAAUAUCUUCUCAACCAGAGUUGAAAAAUCCAAUGAGUUUUGCACACCCAUGUCCCCUUGGUAGUCAUAUCCAAGGCAAUGAUAAGUAUGAUAAAGAGGCCUCGUAUACACCAUGGUGGGCUGAGGAAGAGAAAAUAAAAGAGAAAAAGUCCAUAAUACUUUCCAUGCCUCAAUGCAACAAUUUAUUCCCAAAUACAAUGGAUGAGACACCUAGCUAUGCAAUGGAACUAGAAACAUCAUGUACAGGAAUUAUGCUAGGUUAUUUCAAUUAACAGAUUAGUAAGAUGGGAAACCUACCUAUAUACAGUGCAAUUCUAAUGGAUGGAGGAAUCCUAACUUAUCGUAGGGGAAUUGGAUAGCGUUGACCAGACAAAGUCAGGCUGAAAGACUAUAAAUCAAGCGUUGACUGGGAGGCAACCCAGGAAUUUUUUUUAUAUUUAUAUGCUUUCCUAGUUUAUUUAGUAGAUAGGAAUCACGUUAUAUUCCAAAGUUCUAUUCUAAUCCAUGUUGUCUCUCUUCAUUGCAGGUAUUGGAGGUUCAAUGGAUAGGGAAAUGAUCGUCGCUGCCAUCCCCACCAUCACCUCAUGCUUAGCUGAUUACAGGGAAGUUCUCUUCUACUUACCGCUAUAUUCUUACAAUGAGGACAUUGUAAUUUCUAUGUUUGGGGGAGUUUAGUUUAGUUCUUUAUUGCAUGUUUAGUUUCAUGUUUAUGUUAUAUUAUUUUGCAUAUGUUGUUAAUUUAGUUUAGGUUUAUUAUGUUUGCAUUCAUGUAGUACAAUUGCAUAAGUAGUUGCAUAGUAGUAUAGUUUGAAUAGCAUUAUAUUCAGUUCUUGUCAAAAAAAUGAAAAAUUCAAAAAUAAUAGUUAGUUACUAUGUUCAUCUUGCAUUAGUCCAGCUGUUUGAUAGUUACAGUUUAUUUUGGCCAAUGAUGAGAAUGGGAUUGAGUAGCCAAGUAUAGUAUCGACUAUUAGAACUUUGAUGUAAUUUCUUGUUAUGAAUUGAAUCUUUUCCUAUUUGAAACUGGUAUAAUAAGGAUAACACAUUAAUAACAACUAUGUUGACUAAUUAAGUUUAAAUUGAUACAUAAUGGACUUCUUAAGGAUAAUAUUAGUUUGAAUAAAUGAAAGACAUGAACAGGCGGAGAUGGCUAAAUUUAGACAAAAACUUAAGUUUGGGGGAAAACUUUGGGAUACAUAAGCUUAAAAAAAGAAAAAAAAGAAAAAAAAACAAUAAAAAAAUGAUGAAAAAAAAUAUUGUGGCUAGUCUUGUUUCGGGGCCUUUGUUACUUUAGCAAGUACGCCCGAGGGGAUUGUCUUUACAACUAGCGCCCUAAGGUCUUAUAUGGUCUGGGAGUCGUUGGUCAAAAGCUCGCUAAGGGGUAACACUGUUAGCCUAAUGGAAUGAGACAUUGCACAGUCAUGGUUGAAAAAAUAAUAAUAAUAAAAUGGGAAAAGAGCAAAAAGCCCCCGUAAUGCAAAGUAAAGCAUAAGUAUCCCGGAUUGGACUCUUGAAUUUGGUGGAAGUUUGACUUUAGUUUGAUCUAGCUUGUUCAUGAAUUUUGUGAGUUUACACUGUAUGAUGCCUUUAAAGAGAUCUAUUAUGUGUUGUAUUUAGCAUUAUAUCAGUUAGCAUGAAUGUUAAGCACACACGCACUAUACCAGUAAUAACAGUUUGAGAUUUGAUGAUUAAUAGGAAUUAUUGAUUUGUUUUGAUAUGAUGUAUUAUCAUGUUUUCUUGAUUUCUCUAAGUCCGAAUGAAUAGAUUUGAUUCUAUCAAUACUACUAGAUUCGUAGGCAUAUAGAUUAGUUGCAUUUCAUUAUAUUGAAUUGCAUUAUGUUGUGUUGCUUGGGGACAAGCAACGGUUUAAGUUUGGGGGUAUUUGAUAAGUAGAUUUUAUACCUACUUAUUCAGUAUCUUUAACUUGAAUUUGUUGCUUAUAUUCAUGUGUCUUAGUUACUUUUCAUGCAUGUUGUGUUCAUUUUGUAGGUUAUAUGUUUGGGAGCGGUGUGAGCGAUUAUUGGUAAAGAAAAGCAAGGAAAUCGCAAAGAAUUGGUAGAAAAACGCAAAUAAAAGCAAUCUGGACAUCAUUUAGGCUUUUAUGUUCAUUUUAUGUUCUUGGCUUGGAACUUAGACUAUAUUUUAUAGCUUCUUCUUAGAUUUCCAGAACAUCUUGAAUCAUUCCAAUCGGAGUUCGGAUGCAAGAGUUAUGACAUUUGUACCAACGGACGUUGAAUUUCGCUGUUUUGGGUGGUCAUUUGCAUAACAGUCACUUCUAGUCCAAUUUCGACCUUCCUCUGUUCGUUAUUUCUCAAUUCGUAAAGAAUGAAAGUUUUAGAUCUCGUCGAUAGCUUCGAUUUGAAAGGUUAUGACCAUUUUACCAGAGGACACUGCAGCAGAAAAAACAAAUAGCAGCUUGCACCCAAGCCGGUGCUUGCUCUUUUAAGCCUUAAACCCAAGCCGGAGCUUGGGGUCCUGAGUUCAAAAUCAGAAGCAUAGCAAGCCGGGGCUUGCUAUUUACAAUGCAAUACCCAAGCUGGGGCUUGGGUAUGCGUAGAAAAGGCAAUUUUAACUAGAAUUUGAGUUUAAGAUGGAUUGAUUCGAGUUGUUUGAUUCAAGGACUUCCAAGAGGACUUAAAGACAUAUAAGGAAGCUUAUAAAAGGAGGAGAUUUACAAGGAUUAGAAAAAGUUUUUGGAAAAAUUCUAUUAGAUUAGAUUAGAGUAGAUUGGGAAAAACCCUAGUUCUUAUUAGAUUUGGAGAUUGAAGCAACUUGGAGACCAUUGAAGAUUCAAAGUAGGAGCAAGGAGAGAGCAUCAAAUCUAUAGACAAUAGAUUCUAUCUUCUUAUCUUCUUCUAUCUUUGUCUUUUAAUGUUUAUUCAAGUUUGGAUUAUUAGUUUUAAUUCCAUAAACUAAUUCUUUGUUUGAGAUUACAAUGGAUCUUAUUGUGUAGAUAAUUUUAAUAUGCUUCACUAUCAAUUAUUAUGUUAUAUUGUGAGGAUUGUCUAUUGUGAUUUGAACUUAAUUGCUUAAUUUCCUACCUAACAAUUAUCGUGAUAAUCUAUAUGAACUCGAGAGAUGAAGUAUAGAUUUAGAUCUGAUCAUGAUAGCAUGUGUUUGUGAUUUCUGCAUAGAUAGAAUUCAUGAUUCGUGUUUAGGAUAGAGAUAUGCCUUUACGCCAUAUGUAAUCUUAUAGAGAAUUUGUGCUUUAAAUCCUUUUUAAUUGUAAUUCACAUAGAGAUAUAGUGGAUUAGUUAAUUAGGGUGUCUUGCUUAAUUCUAUCAUUUGUGGAUUUAAGUGAGUAUGUGUAUUAUGCAUCGAGAGGUGGUUUUAUCUGCUUUAGUGUUCUUGAUUAACAAUUCAGGAUAGAGAAUAAUUGAUAAAAAGUGUGUUAACUUAAAUGAAGCAAUACGUGAAGUUCUGAUCUUAAAUCUCCAUAAUCUGAUUUGUAAUUAGGGGUAAUUAGAAUUAGUUUAAUUAAAUAAUUUAAUUCAUAACAUUAAAUUGAUUGUUUAAAUAAAAUUAGUUUGGUUAAGAGUUAGUAUUUGGUAAUUUGUAUUAAUAAUUCCUCAUGAGAACGAUACUCUACUUUCACUAUAUUACUUGUUGACCACGUAUACUUGCGUGUUGUGCGUAACUAGAUUUUACCCAACAGAUAUAUAGUGAGUAAUAAUUCCUUCACUAAAUAGAUUUUUUCCUCGCAAAUUUUUAUCAUAACUUGGCUCCAAAAAUCUUUCUAUCGCCCCAAUUUUGCGAGAAAAAAAAUAUAAAUUGUGAAGGAUGUUUCUUUCGCUAAUAACUAUAUUGUCACUAUACUUUUGUCAUUCAUUGUUCCUUCGCUAAAUAGCUCCUCAUGUGAAGGAAUAAAUUCCUUCAAAAAAUUUCCUUCGCUAGAGGCCAUUUUUGGUGUAGUGAGAUGAUUGUUUAAGUUAUUUAAAUUACGUCUGUAUCCUUUGAUUAUAGGUAGUUAGAUGUAAUGUUUUGGACAGUGAACACCAAAUCCCGUGGGAAUGGAGUACCUGGAUUUGGGGGUGUCACAAUAAACUUAUCUACUUUUGAAAGACCUAUAACCAAUAAUAUCGGUCUCACAAUUAGCAAAAUUAUUCACAACACGCAUCACUGUAUUCUACAGUCAAACUUCACCUAGACACAUUACCAUAUAGCCACAUUAGUGUUUAUAACCUAUAUAAACAUUUAUCAAGUCUAACUAUUUCGGUCUAGUUGGACUUCGGUCUAUUCUCGGUGUUCUGGUCACCUUAUCCGACAAUUAACACAGUUAUUGUCAAUUAAAUUUGGUCUCUAAGCUUCAAUAUCAUUUUAGAUAAGUCAAUUAUCCAUUAUAAUAUUUUUCGGAAGCUUUUCAUAAUUAAUAAUCAAUUAUUAUAAAUUAUAAUAAUUUUUCAAACACUAAAAUCAUUUUUAAAAGAUUUAAUUAUCAAAUAACCUUAUCAUCAUUAAUAUUUAAUAAUAUUAAAAUAAUAAUUACAUACUGGUCAAAAUAUUAAAGUUAUUUUUAAGAACUUAAAAUAUUUUUAAAUCAACAAUAUUCUACUUAAAUGAUUUUUUAAGUAAUUAAAAUUAUUUUUAAAUGAUCACCAUUAAUAUUUAAAUAUUAAUGAAUUAUCAUUCAAAUAUUAAAAGUCAUUAAUUAUAAAUUAAAACAUUUUUAAAUCAUUUUUCUCAUUUUUAAAUGAUUUUUAAUUCAAUAAAACUAUUUUUAAUUUAUUUAUUUAAUAUAAUAAUUAAAUAAAUCCAAUAUCAUUAAUAUUAAUUUAUUAAUGAAAAUUCUCCAAAAAUAUUGAAAAUUAUAUUUUAAAAUUCAAAAUAUUUUCUAACACUUUAUUCUCCUUUAAAAUGAUUUUUAAAAUAUAAAAAUCAUUUUUAACUCAUUUAUUUAAUAUAAUAAUUAAAUAAAUCUAAUAUCAUUAAAAUUAAAUUAUUAAUGAAAAUUCUUCAAAAAUAUUAAAAGUUUUAUUUUAUAACUCACAAUAUUUUUAAAUACAUUAUUCUUAUUUAAAAUGAUUUUUAUAUAAUUAAAAUUAUUUUUCUCUAAUUUAUUUAAUAUACUAAUUAAAUAAAUUAAAUACCUUUAAUAUUUAAAUAAUUAUAAAUAUUAAAGAAAAAUAUUCCAAUUAGUCAAAAAUUAUUUUUCAUAAUUUAAAAUAAUUUGUAAAACCGUUUUUAAUAAUUUUUAUAAUUUAUUUCUAUUUUUUAUUAAUUUUCAGAAAUUCAUAAAUUAAAAUAAUUAGAAACUGUCGCUGAAGCUUUUUGCGACACAAUUUUUGAAAAACACCAUUUUAAAGCAUUUUGAUGCUAUGGAUCUAUGAUAGAUCAACAUAUAACAUCUAAAAACAUCAUAUAACACAUGAUUAAACACUUUAACACAAAUUUUCUCUUAGCAUACAAGAUCAAAAUGAAGUAGGGUUUUAUACCUUUCUAGACAAAUCUUUGAUCUUAUAUCUCCAAUAUGAUAUUAGGUGACCGAGGGGCUGAUUAUAUGACUGAGGAACUUUAAGAAUUUGAAGGUGUUGAGAGAGAAUGAGUUGGUGAGAGCUAGGUUUAAAAAAUAAGGUAAUGUAGUAACUUUCUCUCUCCCAAAUCUAUAUAUAUGAUGAUAUAGAACUCUAGAUUUGAUAUUACUGGCUGAUAUUUCUAGAUUUUAUGUCACAAAGUCAAGGAAUUAGGUUACCAACUAAAGUUGCUAGCAAUUUCUACAAGUCACCCAUUAAAGAAAUGAAAAAGGGCAUUUUGGUCAAUGCACAUGUAAUUUUAAUGGCAAACUAGACAUUAUCUAAACCCUUAGGGUUUAACCCUUAGGUUUUAAAACACUAACUUUCUAGGAUUUUCUAAUUAAGGUUUUAAAUUAGAAAAAUUAAGAUUUUAAAACUAUAAUUAAGGUUUCCUAAUUAAAUUAGGUUUUCCUGAUCAUAUUAAUGUUUAAUAAUUACAUUAGGCUUGCCAACUAGGAUUAGGGUUGCCUAAUUAGGGUUUAGGAAUCCCGAAUUUUAAAUUAGGGUUUCCCGGCGUACAAUUAGGGUUUUUAACUGUACAUUUGGUUUUCCAAAUCAGAGAUUAGAGUUUCUAAUCCCUUAUUAGGUUUACAAUAUAAAACCCUAUCCAGUCAAUUAUUAGACAUUAACUUUAUACAGUACAAGCACAUACUCACAGUUACUGAUAUUAUAACUGUGAUUUCUGUCGAAUCCUUAUCCAGAAAUUAAUUAGGGUUAGGGUUUUUAAAGCUGUUAAGUACAACUCCACUCCAAUUUCUCAGUCAAUACACAAAUUGACCAUACCUCGAGACUCGUAUCACAGAUACACCGUACAAUAUUAACAGUCAAUGUCAAUAUUAAAUAAAAAAAAUUAUUCGUAAAUUUUGGAUUAUUCAAAAUCCUGGGUUAUUACAGCAACUACAUUGGCUUUUCCAUGGUGAUACAUAAUUUCAAAGUCGUAAUCCUUUAUCAACUCCAGCCAUCUCCUCUAUCUCAUAUUCAACUCCUUUUGUGUUAAGAUAUAUUUUAGACUCUUAUAGUCCGUGUAUAUCUCACAUUUUUCUCCAUAAAGAUAAUGUCACCAUAUCUUUAAGGCAAAAGCUACUGUGGCUAGUCCAGAUCAUGAGUAGGGUAAACUUUCUCAUAAUCCUUCAACUGCCUUGAUGCAUACGCAAUGACCUUGCCAUGCUGCAUGAGCACGCAACCAAGUCCUCUAUGUGAAGCAUCGCUAUAAACUACGAAAUUUCCUAUGUCAUCGGGUAAUGACAAAACGGGCGCUUCACUCAACCUCUUCUUCAGUUCUUGAAAACUGUACUCACAUUUAUCAGUCCACACGUAUUUCACUGUCUUCCUUGUCAAGUUAGUCAAUGGAGUAGCUAUCUUUGAAAACUCCUGGAUGAAUCUCCGAUAGUAUCCCGCUAACCUUAAGAAACUCCGCAUCUCAGUCGGCGUUUUUGGUUGUUCGCAAUUUAUCACGGCUUCCACCUUCGCUGGAUCUACCGAAAUCCCCUCAUGGUCAAUGUCAUGACCUAAAAACUUUACCUUUUCCAAAAUUUUGCAUAUAACUUCUCAUUUCUCAAUGUCUCAAACACUAUUCUUAGGUGUUCAACAUGAUCUUCUGGCGUCUUAGAAUAGACUAGAAUAUCAUCAAUAAACACCACAACGAACUUGUCCAAAUAUUGUUUGAACACUCUGUUCAUCAUAUCCAUAAAUGCAGUUGAUGCAUUAGUCAACCCAAAUGACAUCACCAGAAACUCGUAAUGACCGUAACGAGUCCUGAAUGUCGUCUUUGGUACAUCCUCCUUCCUAACCUUCAACUGGUGAUAACUAGUCCUUAAAUCUAUUUUUUAAAAAAUACUUAGCCCCUUUCAACUGAUCAAAAAGAUCAUCGAUCCUGGACAAUGGGUAUUUAUUCUUUAUCGUUAACUUGUUCAACUCUCUGUAGUCGAUACAAAUUCUUAAUGAUCUGUCCUUCUUCUUUAAAAAUAGUACCGGUGCUCCCCACGGUAAAAAACUCGGUUGUAUGUACUUCUUGUCCAAUAGUUCUUGUAACUGUACCAUUAACUCCUUCAUUCCCACUGGUGCAAUACGAUACGGUGCCCUGGAAACUGGUGCCGCUCCUAGCACAAUAUCUAUUACAAACUCGGUCUCCCUAUCCGGUGGAAGACCCGAUAAUUCACUUGGAAAUACAUCCGUGAAUUCUUUAACUAUAGGUAUUUGUUCCAUGGUUGCUACCACUCUCUGGGUAUCAACUACUUGGCACAGAUAACCUACACAUCCCUUUCUCAAUAAUUUCCUAGUUUGUGUCAUGGUAAGAUAACACGAAUGCCCCGACGAUCUAUUCCCGUAAAAUACUACUUGAGGUUGUCUCAACGUUCUAAUAUUCACACAUUUCUUCUGCCAAUCUAUAAUUUCCCCAUGGUUAACCAACUAAUCCAUUCUGAGAAUUACAUCGAAUUCUCCUAACUUUAUCGGUAUCAAAUCUACCGAUAAUUUACAACCCCGUAUGUCUACGUAACAACUCCUAUGAAUAUCUUCAUAACGAAUUAUCUCCUCGUUUGUUACCUUAAUAUUUAAAGGUAUAAAAAACUUCUCAGGAAGUAAUCCUAAUCAUUUAGCAAUGUCACAAGCUAUAAACGAACAAGUAGCACCCAAAUCAAACAACACGUAACCAUUUAUGGCAUUGAUCGGAAUAAUACCUGUGACUACGUCCCCUGAUGCAACUGCAUCUUGGACUAUCAUGUUAAAGGUAUAAGCCAUUAGCAUACCCGGCUGCACUGGACCACUAAUAGCUAAUUUAUCGCUAUUAGUGCCCUUAAUCCCGUCCGUCCCCUUCUUCGGGCAGUUCUUUGCCAUGUGGUCAGUUGACCCACACACAAAGCAUCCGUGGUUUUUCUUCGAACUUGGACAGUUAGGCAAAAUGUGCCCCUCUUGUCCACAAUUGUAGCAUACAGCCUUCCCCUUGAGACAGACUCCCAGAUAAGUCUUCCCACAGGUUUUGCAGGCCUCCAUUCUCCUCUUUGGAUCUCCUUGUUUCACUCUGGUAUUCCUAUAGUUAAAACACUUUCCGCUUCUGACCCUCGCCACUCCCACUGGCUCAUUCUAUCUUCACUCCCCCAAUAACCUUACCCUUAUUCUUCUUGUCUUUCUGGUACUGGCUUAGAGCCUCGCUACCACCUUCGAUGAUUAUCUCCUUCUCUAAAAUAGUCCCAAAUGAAGUACUUUGGAACAUUGUUAUACAGUUAUAGAGUAAGGGUUCCAAACCCUGCUCGAACCAGCGAGCUUUCCUAACCUUGGUGUCCACUUGAUGUGGAGCAAACCUUGCCAGUUCAUUAAACUUGGCAGCAUAUUGGGGAAUCGUCAUGUCUCCUUGUUUCAAAUCCAGAAACCGCAUCUCCAUCCUUCCCUGCAUACUCGUGGGAAAGUAGUUCUCGAUGAUAUCUCCUUGAACCUUACCCACGUCACAUUCUCAAUACCAGCUCUAUACUGGUUAGCCUCCCACCAAAAAUUGGCUACACCUUUCAUCAUAUAGGUUGCAAAGGCAACCUUCUUACCCUCUUCGACAUUUGAUGUGACAAAUGCCUUCUAAAUUUCUUUCACCCACGUUUGGGCUUCUAUAGGGUCUGUAGUUCCCUUGAACUCCAGCGGACCCACACUUUUAAAAUCCUUGAAUGUAGUAGCUUGUACUACUACCAGAUUUCCGGGGAUAUUAGCCUCAUUUUUAUUAAACGCAGCUGUUAAUAAAUUAACAAAUUCCUGCAUUGGGUUAACCGGACCUCUCUCCGGUUGAUUUAUAUUAGGGCCUUGGUUUCAUUGUCCUCUUCUUGGUGGCAUUUUGCUAUUACAAUAAACAACAUAUUUCAUUAUUAUUCCCUUCUUAUUAGUUAGUUAUUAUUCAAAAUUAAACAAUAACUGCAACAUCCAUUACUCAGUAUGUUCCGUAAAAAGGCUUAUAUUGAUUCAUUCAUUGUACUAUAAUACUACAUCGUGCCAUUACACAGCCUAAGCUGAUUACAUUACUAUCCCACAAUUACUUUCCAAAAAUUGGGAUUUACAAAAGACUACCCUUUGAUAUACAAAAUAAGGUUUUAUGUCACUACUAGAUACACAAUAUUUACAUAUCUAAUAAUACUCUAGCUACUACUAGAUUACCUUAAGGCAUUAUAAAAAUCUGUUGUGGCCAGACCAGCAAUAACAUCCCGGCUGAUAGUGUGCUGAGUCUGUCCAGCCUCUAUUGGAUUUCCAGCCACCUGCUGAUGGAAAUCCUUAUGAGAACUCCUAUAAAUAUAGGACAUUCUCCCUAUCUUCUUGGUCUUUAGCUCCCCCCUGAGCUCAAAAACCUCUUGCUUUAGCUCAUUAACCUUUUCCUUGGAUAAAACUCGCUUGUUGUGUUCCUGUUCCAACAUCGACUCCACAUCUGUCUUAUCCUGUAAGACAGCCUGGAGCUCUACUCUUAACUCUUUCACCUCCUGACAAUAGUGGAGGUUCCUAUCUAACACUGUCAUGAACAGUGACAUCAUAGACUCCCCUUGGGGUGUCUCUUCUGCAAGUGUCAUAGAGUUGAAGGACACCACCUCCACCUCUUCUUCUAACAUGCCAUCAAAUAUCGACAUGAGAUCGGGGUCCUCUGAGUCUCCAGACUCAAUCACUACUACCUCUGGCUCCUCUCCUAUUGGAUUCGGUAUAACCUCUAUCUGGUUAACCGAUUCUUCAUUGUUUAUUUGUACAUCUCUAUACAUUCCAUUUCCACCUGACAUCUACAACAAAACAAUUAAGUUUGAUUAGUACACGUCCGUAGAAUAAUAAAAACACAUAACAUAUAUAUAUAUAUAAUGCAUUUUUAUAGGGUUAAUUUCUUCUUUUACUUCUUUGACUUCUCUUAAGGUUAUGACUUAAGGUUUUAAUUUCCCUCCUUAAGUUUUAUAACCUAAUGCUUUGAUACCAACCCGUGACGCCCCCAAUUCUGGGUAUCUUCUAACCCGACAUAUGGUGCUCCACAGUGCUACAGUUUACACAAACAUUCAAUUGAAAUACCUGAAAAGAACAAAUAUGUCUUAUAUAUAUAUAUAUAUAUUCCAAAAUAAUAUUACCAUUCUUCAAGUUCUUUAUAACCGUUACAUUUGUUCUUGUCAUAAUAUCAAAUAUUAUCAUUACAAACCUAUACUAUUACAUAAGUAAUCUACGGAUGAGCCUUAGCCUUUCCUUUAUCCUUGCCGGAUCCUUUGGUCCGUUCGGUCUUAGCUGCAUUCAUAUGGUUCAAGCAAGAGUGAGCAUAACUAGCUCAACAAGUACAACAAUUCCAUUUAACAAUAUGCUUGAAUCAUAAAAAUCAUAUAUCUUCAAUAACUGAACAAUAGUUAUGAAGUACUAUUGAUAAUUCAAAAUAACCCUUCUCUUUCUUGAAAACGUUUUACAAAUGACAAUAUUUAGUAAAACAUCAAUUCUGGUCCAAGACCUUGAGCAUUUCAUACUUUCUUCGAAAAGGACAUCCCAGGACUAAGUCCGUAAGUCCGUUAUUUCUUAUGAGCACGUCUAGGUGAUCAGCCUAUAGUACUCUAUGUUGAUCAAGACUACAUUCAUUAAACGUAUGUACGUUUAAGUUGUGGCAACCUCACGUGCUUGUCGUUUGACGACAAAACAUUUUAGCAUACUCAGUCUUCAUUUGAAAACCACACCAAUAUAAUUUGGUAAAACAUUGACCAUACUUCGAUAGAUUAUAAGAAAUCCAACAUAUCAUAAGUCUAGCCAAAAGAAUUAGCUUUGACUUUAUCAUGCAUCAAUUUAUACGUAAGAAUACAUGAACCACAAAGCUUAUCUAGAUUGAACAUAGACAAGGGUUAGAAAACUUGCCUUCAGCGUUUGCUACUGUUAUUACACGUUCACUUUAAGUCUUUAAGGUCUCUACAGUAGAUGAUCACAUCACAUAACACAUUAGGUCAUGAUUAACAUACAUGGUUCCUAAAGAAUCUUACAUCACAUAACACAUUAGGUCAUGAUUAACAUACAUGGUUCCUAAAGAAUCUUACCCUUCUUCUCAAUCUAAUCAUGAAUUAGAUUUGUUACUAUUAGUUCUAGCUUUUUAAUAUAGUUCACCAUGUCAUUAAGUUCAUAUUCGAUUACUUAUCUUCAACCUUUAUGUAUCAUAAUUAAGGUUUAACAAUGCCUUAACAAUGUUAUAAUUAAGCUUUACUUCAUUGUUAAUUAGUUACUAUUCUUGCUUUAUUUACAAACCUUCUUCACUGCCAAAACCCUAAGGCUGGCGCUGCGGUGCCAGUCAUUACUAUACAACUCGCGCUGCGGCGCGGGUUUCCAGUAGCUCUCAUUCGGCCUUGGCGAUGUGGUGCCACUCUCAGUACUGAGACUCGCGCAGCGGUGCCACUUCCCUAUAUGCUAUACACAUACCUCGCGCUACAACGUUGGCAACAGCUCUAUGGGUCGCGCCGAGGCGCGGACCCUGAGCCUCACACAGUUACUUCAAUUAAUUUAUUCUGUGAAUUUCCGGGGCCAUAACUUAUUCAUUUUAAGUCCGAAUUGGCUCGUUCAAAAGCCAUUAGCUCACAAAUUAUAUACUCUACAUGUUCAUGCAAGAAUUUAAUAUUUUUGACUUCGUUAACUCAAAAUUCACCUAUUGGUUCAUUUUUAACGAAAACGAUAAACGUUCGUGAGCGUUCAACGCUCGUUUUUUCAUUCUAAGUCAAAAUUCGGCUAUUUUCGAGUCCGUAACUCUAUAAUGCCAAAUAAGACUCGUUCCCAUCGAAAACCAACAUUUCUAAGCUAAAAAUCAAAAUUCAACUUCUAAUCCGAGAAUUUCACGAAUUCGACGAUUAUUGUCCAAUUGUUAGAAUUCCGGCAUAACUUCGUUACUUAUGAUUUGAUAAUAAUUUCAAAUGGAUUCUAUCUAUCAUAUUGACAUCUUAACCUACACAUUACAUCAACUUAUUUUCAUGAUAAGUUAUGACAUAUUCUUCAUGAGUUUAUAGCUUAUUAAAGUAUAAACUACAUAUAACUUUGUUUCACAUGGCUUAUGAUAGUGUAAGUCUUCUAACCAUCAUUCUUACAUACUUUUAUCAUGCUAACUUCAUUUAUGUAAACAUGAUACAAGUCUUACAAGUUCUUCCUUAGUUCAUAGCUUAUCUAUGAACGAAGUGCUUAUUCUCAGCUUAUUAGGACUUAAGUACUUAGAUUAUUUAUUCCUAUCAUUCUUAGCAUAUAUGUCCAUUAAUCCACACUUCUCUUAUCAACCUAAAAUGGUAGAGAUGGAAUACUAAUGGACAAGAGUCUUACCCUUGAUGAUCACUUGAAUCUUUCUUGUUCUUACUUCUUGCUUCAAAGCCUAACUUUUCCUAACUUAUUAUCUCUAACCAAUAAGCACUUUGCAAUUGAAAGUUGUUGGAUGAAAUGAGCAACCAACAAAUGAAAUUCAAACUCUCUAUUUAUAGGUUUUCUAAGGUUAGGGUAGCUUAGUCAUUUAGGCCAUCCUACCUCCUUAAUCAAACCUCCUUACUAUUCAUUACUUACUUGCUAAGUUAACUUGGCCUCCACAAAACUUAUCCCUUGCUUGGUUAUUACAUAAUUAUCAUGGUCACCAAGAAUAACCACAUGAUCAUGGGUUUCCCCAUGGAUCACCUUAAUCCAAUGGAUCAUAGCUUGGGCUUAGGUUUAAAUUUGAUUAACUUAAGUUUUGGACUUAUAUUAACAACUUACUUGGGCUUUAUAUUAACAAACACUUGGGCUUGCACAUUUAAUUCUAUUGGACUCUACAAAUUACUACACAAUCCUACAAGUCCAAUUCAUUUGACUUAAAGCCUUAUAACGUAUUGUUUACGUAUUAUUCUUUUAUUCUAACUCGUAUGUUCAUUCAUAAUAUACAAUAUUCCAUCCUUCAUACAUACUUGUAUAAUACUUGGAAGUUCAUAAUGAAGAUCUAUCUGAACCGUGACCCAUGGGAAUGGUGGGUAGUCGAAAAUGGACCAGUCAUUCCGCGACAUGAUGAUGGCAAGCCAAAGAAUCUCAUGGAAAUGGACUCAAAUGAAUCAUAUAUGGUAUCUUAUGAUUCUAAGGCCAUGAAUACACUUUUAAGUGGCAUGGUUCAGUCGGAGAUAGAUAAGGUCUCCUCUUGUACUACGGCUAAGGAAAUUUGGGACACGGUCAUCAAGAGCCACGAAGGUACUACUAAAGUGAAGGAGGUCAAGCUGAGCAUGCUAAUGCACGAAUACAAACUAUUCAAAUUGGAGAAAAAUGAAUCGAUUAGAGAUGCCCAAGCAAGAUUCCUUACUCUAAUGAAUUCCUUAAGCAUGCUUGGAUGAAAGAUUGAUCAAAAGGAAAUCAACCGAAAGCUUCUUAGAGUCAUGCCAAAGCGAUUCGCACCAAAGGUUACUACACUUCAAGAUUCCGUCACAAUCAGCACAAUGGAAACUCUUACCUUAUUUAGAGAACUUGAAGAGUUUGAAAACCAACUAAAAUUGUACGAUGAAGAAGAUGAGGCACCUAAAAAGAAGACCUUGGCUCUACAAGCUAAAAGCUACAUAGAAGGCAAUAAUGAAGAUUUUGAUGAAGAAAUUGAAAUGCUCUCAAGAAAACUCGAGAGACUACUUCAAAGAAAGAAACAAAGGAAGAAUAAAGAAGGCAUCUCAACUCUAAUGAGCAAGUCCAAAACAGAACAAGAUGAAGAAAUUGGCCAAUCAUGUUUCAUUGGACUAGAAGACGAUGAUCAACUUGAGGUAACGAAUUUUAAAAUAUCUACAUCUGAUUAUCUUGCUUUACAAAAUGAAAAUCAAAGGCUUAAAAAGAAAACUGCUUAUUUUAAGAAAUGUGUAAAUGAGCUAAUGAAUGAAGUUGAGUCACUUAUUGAAGAAAGAAAAGAAAAUGAAUAUCUUAAAAAUAAAAAUCAAACUUUAAAAGAAAAUUGAAAAUGAGAGAUGUAUGCAUAGAUGCUUUUAAUGAUGGAAAAAUUAUGAAUAUGCAACAUGAUGAUAAGUAAUAAAUGCUGAAAUAACAUCUUUAAAAAAUGAUCUUGCUAAAUUUGUGCAAGGAGAAGAGAACCUAAAUGUUGUGUUGGGGGCACAAAGGUCCAGUCUUGAUAAACAAGGGAUUGGGUAUAAUUCUAUUAAAAAUGUGGAUAAUAAGACUAAUAAUAAUAUUAGAAUGAUUAAUAGUAAGUCAAGGCAUAAACCCCUUUAUUGUUCACCAUUUGUUACUUGUAAAAAAUAUGGUUUUAAAGGUCAUUUUGAUUCUAAUUGCAAUAAAAUUAGAAUAAAACAAAUUUGGGUAAAGAAAAGUGAUUUAUAUGCUACUAACCCAAAAGGACCCAAGAAGAUUUGGGUACCAAAAAGAUAGAGACUAUUUGUUUGUAGGUGUCUCAAGAUCAAAAAGGAGAUGGAUGAUUCUUUACUUUGAGAGAGUAAGUUACCUAUAAAUUAUUGGGCAGAAUCUGUAAGUACCUCAUGUUGUUUUUUAAAUAGAGUUUUAAUUAGAUAUAUUAUUUUAAAAACUCUAUGGAUUUCGUAUUACAAGGGUUCAUAACAUCAUUUAUUAUGUCAAAUGCUCCAUAUUUAAUAUACAUGACAAUCUUGAUAAAAGGUUGAGGAAUAUGUUCAAAUUUUAUUUGAUAAUUUUGACUUUGAUCUGUCAAAAGAAGAGAAUGAGGUUUUUGCAGGGAAAAGUAAUGUGGUACGUGGAAAUCAAACAGCUCAAUCCAGACAGUCUAAGCCGUCUGCAUUACAAGGAAAAAUAGAUGAACCAGGAAAACAUGCAGACACCUAAAUCCAGACAGCUCGAUUCGUCUAUUUUUGAAGGCAAAUCAGAUGAAUAUUCUGAUGCAAAAUCUGAUAUUCCAGAAAGUGAAUCAAAUGAACAAAUUACCAAUGACAGUCUUCCAAGAACAACCAAAGUAGUAAAAAAAAAUUAUCCUCCUAACCUGAGUUUUAAAGACCUCAACAUUGGGAUGCCAAAAGAAGUGCUAUUGAAGAGAUUUUUGAUUCUGAAAAUACAAAAUUCAAAUCUACACUAAGGAGCACAAUUAUCAAGCUUUCUGCUGGUAACAAAAGGUUGAUAUAUAGGUAACAAAUUACAAAGGUAUGAUUAUAUUAUUUACUUGCUAUAUGUGAUUUUGUUAUAACCUUGUUCUAUUGUAAUUCUUUAUGCUUAUUUUUUUUUAAUUUGGCUAAUGGGGUGAGAUAACUAACUUCAACUUAAUUGAUAUGAAUUAUUUUUUGUUGAUGAUAAAGGGGGAGAGAUAUAACUUGAUGAUUUAUUUCUUUUUGAUAAUGACAAAGGGGGAGAGAUAUUUGGGUAUAUUUAAAUUGGUUUGAAUUGGUAUUCAUGUUGAUAUUGAGAUACUAUAUUAUACUAGAAUAUGCAAUGAUGGUUAUUUGGAUAAAGUAAUUUUCUUUUGCUCCUUAAUAUGCAUAAAUUUAUGGGCAGCCAUAUACUUAGGGGGAGCAUGUUGGUGCAUAAAUUGUCAUCAUCAAAAAGGGGGAGAAUGUUGGUUUUUGAUUUUAUGAUGUUUUGAAUGAUGACUAAUUUAAGUAUAUUAGACAUGUGCAUGGUUCAUGGUUUGUUAUAAUAUUAUAAUUAAUAUGCAUGGGUUAUGGUUAUUACAUGAACACUUGUUGCUACUUUUCUUCUGUUGGUAAGUUGGAAUGUUUUAAAAUCAUUUCAAAUUUGAUUUGGAGUUUAUUAAGGAAGAUUUGAUUUGGAGUCUAUUAAGGAAGAUUUGAUUUGGAGUCUAUUAAGGAAGAUUUGAUUUAGAGGUAAUUAAGGAAGAUUUGGAUUGGAGUUUAUUAAGGAAUAUUUGAAUUGGAGUUUAUUAAGGUAUGUUGGUAUUUAUAAUUUUAAUAAUGACAAAUAUUAUGGUCUUUUGUUAUUAAUUCCAGCUGGCCCAAAUUGGUUCUUCUAUUUCAUCUGAGUAUUUCGUGGGUGCUUACUUAUUUAAGGAUUUUAUCUUGCUUAGUGGAGCCCACAUUAGUUAGUGAUAUUUUGGUAUUCUAUUUUGAAAAGGAGACUUACAGAAGCUAUUGGGUCUUAUCCUUAUUAAUCUCUUUGUUCCUUUAUUUAAGGUGUUUUGGUUUGACUUGAAAACAUAUUCUUGAUUUACCAAAUCUGUUGGACUCUUUAAUUGCUAAAAUCAUGGUGUAUAUCAACUGUGAUAUAUGUUCCGUUGGUCAAUAUUGUAGCUUUAAUUAUGGGAUUUAAAUUAUCUUAUUUCUUGCUAACAAAUAUAGUCGUUGGCCUUCAUGUUAUAUAAAGCUUCAUCAUGCUCGGUUAUGAAGGGAACCCAAGAAUUGGAAAGUAGCAAUUCAUUCUUCUUAAUUCUUAUAGCUUUCUAAUAGUCUUUCUAGCAAUCAAUGUCCUGUUAUCCUUAGGCUAGAAAGUUGAUAUUCCAUUGGAAUCACCAUCAUUGUAAUCUGAAAAAAACAAAACUGAUAGCUUUUGUGGUCUAGAGUUUCUAGAGUUUAGUGGGUCUGUUCAAAGGAAGCUUCAAAGGUCUCAGAGGUGAGAACAAGUGCAGAGCUGUACAAGUUGCAGAGGUGCAAAGGGGGCAUUGGUGUCCAUCAUUAGAAUUGAAGCUUCCUUGUAACAGGGAGUUCUUUUUAUUGUAUUUAAUUGAAUAUUAAGUUUAAUAAAAAGAGUCUCCAAUCCUAGUUGGGAUUGGACGUGGAUUAGGCCACUAGAUAGAGGAUAGGGGCCGAACCACGUAAAAAUCUUGGUGUGAUUUUUACUUCUGUUUAUCUCUUUAACUGUCAUUCAUAUUCUGCACUUUUUUGUUAUACACGCUACUAUCCAGACACUAAAGCCGACAGGUUUAGCUGUCUGAUAAUAAGAAACGAAGAACAUAAGCUAAAGCAGACACUAAAGCAGACAGGUGUAGUUGUCUGAAUUAUACCUGUAGCAGAAAGUUACAAAAAGUUUUCACUAUUUAUCACUUUAAGCUUAAACACCUAUUCACCUCCCCUCUAGGUGUGCGUAUUAACUAAAUUACAAAACCUUCUUUAAUUAUAAUUCACAUAGAGAUAUAGUGAGUUAGUUGAUUAAGGUGUUUAACUUAUUUCUAUCUAAUUUGUGAAUUUGAGUUAAUACGGUAUUAGUUCAUCGAGAGGUGGUUAGUGCUAUAUUAGUGUUCUUGAUUAAUAAACUAGGAUAGUGAAUUUAAUUGGAAUAAAGGUGUAAAAAUCAGAGUGAAACUUAAGGUGAAAUAGUAAGCUUAAUUCUCCAAUAAUUGUUUGAAAUUUCAAUUUUUAAUAUUUGUGAUUGGUUUGUGAUCUUAUAUUUAUUAAUAAUUUAGUUUUUAUAAUUUUAAUCAUUGAUUUAGAUAGUUUAAUAAAAUUAGGAUUAAUAGGAAAUUGAUAAUGGUGAGGUUAAAUUCUUACUUAAUUGUCUCUGUUGGAAUGAUACUUUACUUACUAUUAUAUUACUUGUUGACCACGUAUACUUACGUGUCGUGCGUAAUUAGACUUUACCCAACAACUUUUUGGCGCCGUUGCCGGGGACAAUUUUAGUAUAGAUUUUAAUAUUUUAUGAUAUCAGUUUAAUUAGUCCAGUUUUACUUAAACAUUUUUAUUUUUGUUUUGUUCAUCUUAUUAUAGGUUUUUGAACUGGUUUAUGCAAACGCGGUCCAAAAAUCCAGACUUGCUUCCUUUUGAGGACGACAUUGAGAAACGGUUCCAAAGGCUAAGUAAGUGGAUCAAGGAAAUAAGAGAAGAAUUCAAAAAUUCUGAAAAAGAAGAGGCAAUGGCUGCUGAAGAUCAGAAAGCGUUGAGGGACUUUGCUACACCCAAGGUGACUAAGCUGCAGUCGAGUAUCACCAGACCUGCUAUAGUUGCGAACACCUUUGAAAUCAAGCCUGGGAUGAUUCAAAUGAUUCAAAAUUCAGUUCAGUUUGGGGGAUUGGCAACUGAUGAUCAUAAUGAACACUUGGUUAGCUUUCUAGAAAUUUGUGACACCUUCAAGUAUAAUGGGGUGUCGGAUGAUGCGGUGAGACUUCGCUUGUUCCCAUUCACCUUACGGGACAAGGCAAAGUGUUGGUUACACUCUCUACUGCCGGGAUCAAUAACUACUUGGGAAGACCUCGUUGAGAAAUUUCUUGCAAAAUUUUUCCCACCAGCGAAAACUGCGAAAAUGAGGAAUGAGAUAACGAUGUUUGAAUAGCAACAUGGGGAGUCACUGUAUGAGGCAUAGGAAAGAUACAAGGAAUUGCUUAGAAAGUUCUUUUAUCAUGGAUUGCCUAUGUGGUUGCAGAUGUACACGUUUUACAACGCAUUAAACGGAAAUCUCAGAACCAGUAUUUUGCAGCUUCGGGUGGAGCGUUUAUGGCUAAGAGAUAUGAGGAGGCUUACGAAUUAAUAGAGACUAUAGUAGCUAACAACUACUAGUGGCCCACGACAAGAAUGACACAUGCAAAGGCAGCUGGAGUGUUAGAAGUAGAUGGUGUGACGGCAAUACAAGCGUAGAUUUUAGCACUCUCUAAGAAGUUGGAUGCUAUGACAGGGGUACAUGAACAACAAGUUGUGGUUAUUUGUAAUUGUAUGCAGGUGAGAAUCCUACAGAUCAAUGCACAAUUAAUCCAGCAUUAGUAUAAUUUGUGGGUAGCUAUAACAGAAUUCCACAGAAUACAUACCAGAAUGCUUAUAAUCAGGGGAAUAUGAAUCAUCCGAACUUUUUAUGGAGUAACAAUCAACAUUAGCAAGCUCCAUGACCAUCAUAUCCCCAGGAUUUCAAAAUCAUCAACAACCAGCUUAACAUCAAGUGAGGAAAUUAGAUUUAGAGGAGUUGUUGACAAAGUACAUAACAAGCAAUGAGGUGGCUAUAAAAAAUCAAGUAAUGGUAAUGAAAUCGCAAGAGAUGGCCAUUAAGAAUCUAGAGAAUCAGAUGGGACAAAUUGCAUUAGCGUUGAACAAUAGACCACAAGGAACUCUACCAAGUGACACCGAGAGAAAUCCAAAGUGUAAUCACGAGCAAUGUCAAGCAAUUAUGUUGAGAAGUGGAAAACAGCUUGAGGGUCAAGAAACAAAAAAAUUGGCUACAAAGGAGGUUGAGACAGAUAAUGAAAAUAUAGCGGUUGACGUCAAGCAGGGGGAAGAAAAACAAGUGGAAAAGAGCAAACCAGUUAACGAACCAGUUGUCUAUCCUUCCCCACCGUUUCAGCAAGGAGUUCAAAAACAGAAACUAGAUAAGCAGUUUGCAAAAUUUUUGGGAGUUUUUAAGAAACUUCAGAUUAAUAUCCCAUCCGCAGAAGCCCUAGAGAAAAUGCCAAGUUAUGCGAAAUUCAUGAAAGGGAUUUUUUCCAAGAAAAAGAAGUUGGAAGAUUUCGAGACAGUGGCAUUAACAAAGGAGUGUAGCGCGGUUUUACAGUGAAAGUUGCCACCAAAGUUGAAAGAUCCAGGGAGUUUCACUAUUCCGUGCACGAUUGGGAAAAUGGUGUUCAACAAAUGUUUGUGUGAUUUGCGGGCAAGUGUGAACCUUAUGCCGUUAUUAGUUUAUACAAAAUUGGGUUUGCCUGCUCCAAAGCCUACGAAUAUCUCAUUGCGGUUGGCGGAUAGGUCAGUUACGUACCCGAGAGGCAUUAUAGAGGACAUAUUGGUCAAGGUUGACAAGUUUAUAUUUCCCGCGGAUUUCAUUAUUCUGGAUUUUGAGGAGGAUAAGAACAUCCCGAUUAUCCUAGGGAGACCUUUAUUGGCUAUGGGUAGGACACUCAUCGACGUACAAAAAUGUGAACUUACUAUGAGGGUCCAAGAUCAAGAAAUAAAAUUUAACGUGUUCAAGGCCAUGAAAUUCCCUACGGGUGAAGAAGAAUGUUUUAGGAUGGAUAUCAUUGACCAGAUAAAUCAGUGAAGAUAUGAACAAGAGUUUGGUUAAUAAUCCAUUGGAAAUGACAUUAUUAGGGGAUGAAGUGUUCGAUGAUCUAUAAUUUGUGGAUUACUUACAAAUACUAGACUCCUUGCCACGAGUUAGCAGAUUUAAAACACCCUUUGAACCAUUGCACACGGAGGAGAAAGCCACAACAAGGAUGAAAAUGUCAUUGGAGGAGCCAUCGACUCUUGAACUUAAGCCACUCCCUAAACACCUCAGGUAUGCAUAUUUAGGCAAUUCUAAUUCUCUGCCUGUUAUUAUUUCUAAGGGACCACAAAUCAACCAUAGGAUGGACAAUUGUAGAUAUCAAGGAAAUCAGCUCAUCCUUUUGUAUGCACAAAAUUCUGAUGGAAGAUGAUGCAAAACCAACAGUGGAACAACAAAUAUGGCUCAACCCUAUCAUGAAAGAAGUAGUUAAAAAGGAAAUAUUAAAAUGGUUGGAUGCGGGUAUCAUCUACCCGAUUUCAGACAGUAAGUGGGUCAAUCCGGUUCAGUAUGUGCCGAAAAAGUGAGGAAUGACCGUGGUUCAGAAUGAAGAAAAUGAGCUAAUUCCGACAAGUACAGUGACUGGUUGGAGGGUUUGCAUGGAUUACAGGAAGUUGAAUAAGGUGACCCAAAAAGAUCACUUUCCUUUGCCCUUUAUCGAUCAGAUGUUGGACAGAUUAGCCGAACAUGAGUACUACUGCUUAUUGGAUGGAUAUUCGGGUUAUAAUCAGAUCAUCAUCGCUCCUGAAGAUCAAGAGAAGACUACGUUUACAUGCCCAUACGGUACAUUCACAUUCAGGAGAAUGUCGUUCGGUUUGUGUAAUGCACCCGCUACCUUCCAGUGGUGUAUGAUGGUCAUCUUCUCGAAUAUAGGGGAGAAAAAUAUGGAAGUCUUCAUGGACGAUUUCUCUGUCUAUGGGGAUGAUUUUGAUGCUUGUUUAGAAAAUUUGGUAAUGGUCCUACAAAGAUGCAUAGGCACGAAUUUGGUCCUGAACUGGGAAAAGUGUCACUUUAUGGUUGAAGAAGGUAUAAUUUUGGCGCACAAAGUCUUGGCUCAAGGAUUGGAGGUUGAUAAAGCUAAGCUGGAAACAAUUAAGAAAAUGCCUCCACUGAGUUCAGUUAAGGGAAUUAGAAGUUUUCUAAGACAUGCUGGGUUCUACAGGAUAUUCAUAAAGGACUUCUCUAAAAUUGCAAAACCUUUGUGCAGUCUUCUAGAGAAGGAUUCAGUUUUUAAGUUUGAUGAUGAGUGUAAAUUGGCAUUCGAGAUGUUGAGGAAGAAAUUAACCACAGCUCCAGUAAUCAUCGCACCGGAUUGGACCAUGCCCUUUGUGUUAAUGUGUGAUGCUAGCGACUAUGCGGUUGGGGCUGUUUUGGGUCAACGCCGAGAGAAGGUAUUUAAUUAUGCAAGUAAGACACUAAUGGAGACUCAAAUGAAUUACACAACUACGGAAAAGGAAUUGCUUGUUUUGGUGUAUACGUUCGAUAAAUUCCAGGCAUACUUGAUCGGGACUAAGGUAGUAGUUUAUAUAAAUCACUCGGCCAUUCGGUACUUAAGUUCGAAAAAGGAUGCUAAACCACGUCUUAUCAGAUGGAUUCUCCUUUUACAAGAGUUCGAUUUAGAAAUAAAGGAUAGAAAGGGGAUGGAGAACCAAGUCGCCGAUCAUUUAUCUAGGUUGGAAAAUUAUAAUAAAAAGGAAGAGGACAAGUGUGUAAUCAACGAGUCAUUCCUGGAUGAGCAACUGUUCGGGAUAAAUACAGAAUUUCCAUGGUACGCGGACUUCGCGGAUUAUCUAGUGAGCAACAUUCUUCCCCUGAUCUUACACGACAAUAAAAAAAGAAGUUUCUUCACGAUGUCAAAUGGUAGAUGUGGGAUGAGCCUUACUUAUUCAAACAGUACGCCAAUAAUAUGAUCAGAAGAUGUGUGCCCCACAGUGAAGUAAAGAACAUAUUGCAUGAAUGUCACUUGUCUGCGUAUAGGGGACAUUACGGUAGUGAACGAACAACGACAAAGGUGCUUCAAGCCGGAUUUUAUUGGCCUACAUUGUUCAAGGAUGCCCACCAGUUUGUUAAAAUAUGUGAUAUAUGUCAAAGGGUGGGCAACAUAUCGAAAAGGAAUGAGAUGCAUGGGGCAUAGAUUUCAUGGGGCCAUUCCCUUCAUCACUUAACAAUCAGUAUAUUUUGGUUGCAGUGGAUUACGUCUCCAAGUGGGUUAAAGCCGCUGCACUCCCAACUAACAAUGCCAAAGUGGUUCUCAAAUUCUUGCAGAAGAACAUUUUUACGAGAUUUGGCACGCCGAGAGCUAUUAUAAGUGAUGAAGGUAGUCCCUUCUACAACAAAUCGUUUACAGCUGUAUUGACAAAGUAUGGGGUCAACCAUAAGGUAGCUAUAGCUUAUCAUCCCCAAACCAGUGGGCAAGCUGAGAUUUUGAAUAGGGAAGUAAAGAGAAUCUUGGAAAAGGUGGUAAACUCGAAUCGAAAGGAUUGGUCUGUCAGGUUGGAUGAUGCACUAUGGGCCUACUGGACUGUGUAUAAAACACCGAUUGAUGUGUCACCAUAUCAACUACUAUAUGGGAAGGCUUGUCGCUUACCUAUCGAGUUACAGCAUAAGGCUUAAUGGGCAAUUCAGAAAAUUAAUUACAAUCAAGCAGCUGUGGGGGGAAAGAGACUACUGUAAUUAAACGAGCUAGACGAAUUUUGACUUCAAGCCUACGAGAACUCUAAGCUAUACAAGGAAAAGGUCAAGAGAUGUCACGACCAGAAAAUCAUGCAAAGAACAUUUGAACUGGGGCAAUCAGUACUACUUUUCAACUCAUGGUUGAGGUUGUUCCCAGGCAAGGUUAAAUCAAGGUGAUCGGGACCAUUUGCCAUCAAAAGGGUUUUCUCUUAUGGCGUCGUUGAACUCUACAGUAGGAAUCCAUUAGAAACAUUCAAGGACAACGGUCAAUGGUUGAAGCAUUAUUGGGGUGGCGAAUCCAACACGGAAGUCAUUGCAAUUAUAUUAUCCGACUUACCAUAAACAGGGAGUAGUCAGGCUGAAUGACUUAAAAUCAAGCGCUAAUUGGGAGGCAAUCUAAUCAUACUUUUAUUUUUCAUAUUUUUAAUCAUAACUGUUAGAUUAUAAUUUAGCAUAAUUAGUAAUUUAUAAUAAGUGCAUUAAGUAGUUAUUAUAUUGUAUGAGUCUUGUUAAUCUCUCAACCAUGCUCAAAAUGAUCAAUAAUCUACUCACAUAUAUGUUCCAUCACUUGCAUGAUGUGAAACUAUUCAUUAAGUGGAAUAACAUGAAGGAAAGAAGAGCAGAGAACAUNNNNNNNNNNNNNNNNNNNNNNNNNNNNNNNNNNNNNNNNNNNNNNNNNNNNNNNNNNNNNNNNNNNNNNNNNNNNNNNNNNNNNNNNNNNNNNNNNNNNAUUCUAGCAACUUCAAUUCCAUCUUUGAACUUAUUUAACACAUUCACCCACUACCCAUUACCUCCAUCACUUACUCUUAUUCUUCUCCAUACACCAUCUCUAUAUAAACACACCCUCACAACCCAAGUUCAUCAUAUACACUUAAAUUGAACUCAGAAAGCCAUGAAUUAGGGUUCUUAUUGUGGGAAUUCAUCUUGCAUUUGAGAGUGAGGUACCUAUUUUCAAGUUCUUCAUCUUCUCUCACCAUAAUUGCCACAAAAUUCCCCAACCUUGGGGGAAGAAAUCAGUGUGCACACCACCUAUUCGACAGAGUGUGUGAGUCAAGUUUGGGGGGAAAUAGUUGUGUUAAGGCUUACUCAAUUCAAUGGCGUCGCAACCCACAUCAAAAUGACAAAGGGGAGAAAUUUCAAGGCCCGCACAACCGACACGGACCUUUAAUCGCCGUUAAUUCGUAAGUGCCACCGCCACCGACUGAUACAACUAUAUGGUGACAAAAGCUCUUACACCGGAGUGGGGGUUGGCACUGGAUCCUGUUGACGGUGAAAUGAUGCAACAAAUUUAUCAGAAAGGGUGGAACAAGUUCACUGAGGAACCUGAGCCAUCUGUUGUCAACGUGGUCAAAGAGUUUUAUGCCAACGCCGAGGACAAUGCUUAUGUGUGGGGUUGAUUAGUCUCAUUCAGUACUGAUGCCAUCAACACCUAUUAUCAGUUAUGAGUGCCUCGACAGUGCCAAUACGCUCACCUACAUGAUUUUGAUCCCGACUAUGAGGCUAUACUCAAAGAAAUGACUAAGCCGGGAACAACAUGGAUCAAGGGUCAGAAAGGAGGCACUGUUUGUCAUAGCAAGGAUCUCAGUCGAUAUGGUAAAAUAUGGUAUGCCUUUUUAUGUGCAAAAUUGUAUCCAUCCCAACACACAUCGGACGUGACAAAGGAGAAGGCACUACUUCUAUAAGCAAUUGUGCAAGAUUUCAUUAUUAAUGUCGGGGCCAUAAUCUAUUUUUCCAUUCGUCGAAGCUUAUGAGGAAACUUUUCAGGCAGCUUGCCACACCCAUCACUCAUAUGUGGGUUAUGUCGCCAAGCGGGUGUUAGAUGGUCUGGUGAUGAACCCACUCAGAUGCCGCUUCAGCUACUCGAUUCUAGAAUGAUCAUGUGGUAUUCGGUGUGGGCCGGAGGUGAUUCCCAUCCUCGAGGUCUGGGAUUUAUUUUUCCAUCAGCUUCGAAGGACGAGGUUGACGUUGCAGACACCUCGGAGGAUGAGGAUGCAACUGUGGGAGAGCAAGGAGCGGAGGCGGAACCACAAUCUGAUGCCAUAUCUAACACUCAAUUUCUUGCAUUUCAACGUCAAAUGGAUACGCGCAACAAGUCAGCACAAAGGGAGAUGCGGCGACUCGCAGCGAGAUAAGACCACAUGUUUGAAGCUAUGAAUACAUCUUUUGCAUCAUUAAAUGCGACACUCCAGAGCUUCAAUCCAACUGCCCAAUUUCCAUAUCAGAAAUUGUCGCCACUGCCGCGAUUUCCACCGAGUGACUCCGAGGAAGAAGAUCAACCACCACCACCCCAUGUUUAAUAUGCUUACAGGGAAGUCCUUAUAAUUUUUAUUGAGUUAUCCACACAAUGAUGGCACUGUAAUUCUUAAGUUUGGGGGAUUUUAAUUACAUGUUUGCAUGCAUAAUGUCAUUAGUUAGGCUUGCAUUUGUCAUUGCACUUUAGUUUUGAAUAUUAAUUUAGGAUUUGUGAUAUUGCAUUCAUGUAAUCAUAUAAUUGCAUAAUAGCUUAGGUGCAUACAUAGUUUAAUUUUUGUUGUUAUUUCUGCAUUUUGUUAUGUGAAGCAUAUAUAUAUAUAUAUAUAUAUAUAUAUAAAUUAGUUAAAUAUUGUGUUUGCAUAUAUCCAGCAGUACUAUAGUUCAUUUUAUUUUGGGCCAAUGAUGAGAUUGAGAUUAAGUCGAUAAAUACAACAUUGAUAUUUACAACCUUGAUGUAGUUUUGAAUUAUAACUCGGAUAUUGUGCUUGUUUGAAACUGGUAUAAAAAGGGAAGCACGUAAUAACAUCUGUGUUGACUGAUUAGUUUAAAUUGAUACAUAAAUAGUUUCUAAAGGAUAAUGCUAGUGUAAAUCAUAGAAUGACAAGGAUAGGCAGUGAAAAUGACGAAUUAGACAAGAACCUAAGUUUGGGGAAAAAGGUAGGGUAUUUAAGCUUCAGAAACAAAAGAGAAAAUAAUAUCUAGUUGAGUCUUGUAGUGGGUUGAGGAAAACAUACUCCCCAUAAACACGAGCGUAAAACGCACUUACCAACCAUCUAUCGAAAAAAAUAUAUAUAUGAAGAAAAGUCGGGAAAUAGGAGCAAAGAGCCCCCGUUAGUUCGAACUUUUCUAUUUUUGAAAUUUUUGAGUUAUUUUCUAUGAUUCCUAAUAAGAAAUUGAUUAUGUGUUGAAUUUGAAUUAGAAUCAGUUAGCAUAGACGUUGCUCACACACGCACUAUAUCAGUAAUUAAGGUCAAAGAUUCGAGGAUUGAGGAGAAACUAUUGAGUGGUUUUGAUAUGAGGUGUUGAAAUAUUUGCUUGAUCUUCCUGAGGCCGGAGGAAUAUUUUUGAUUCUGUGAUACUGUUGGAUUCGUAAUCAUAUAGUUAGAUACAUUAUAUCUCAUCUCAUUGCAUUGCAUAGCCUAUAGUUUGUUUUAUGCUCGAGGACUAGCACGGUUUAAGUGUUGGUUUUUGAUUUUAUGAUGUUUUGAAUGAUGACUAAUUUAAGUAUAUUAGACAUGUGUAUGGUUCAUGGUUUAUUAUAAUAUUAUAAUUAAUAUGCAUGGAUUAUGGUUGUAACUAUGAUAAUAUAAUAUGCAUGAAUAUUGGCAGUAUAUAAUAUUAUAUUAUAUGCAUGGAUUGUGGGUGGACAUUAUGGGAACAUAUAACAGUCCAUAUAAAUCUAUAUUGCAUGUUUGCUAUAAUCUCAUCUCAAUUGAUUGACAGGGAAUGAAAUUUGGUCAACUGAUUAGUUGAUUCAAAUUUGAACUAGAAGCUUCAAAAGGUAUAUGCUCUAAAUAUAGUAUAUUGUUAACAAACCAUAUCUUUCGUAUCCCUUCAGAUCAGAUGAUUGAUAUCAUAUCUUUUAGGUUGAGCUUAUCAAGGAAACAAUAUAUCUAUCGAUUUGGUGCUAAUUUCAUGGAAUCAGCCCUCUCAUAGCCAUUGGAAGCUCUACUAUAUAUCUCUCUCCUGCUCGGCUAUUGGAAGACAGAACUUGGAAAAGCUUUAAUUAGUCUCAUACGUUCUAUUCAAUAGCGAUUCUAAGUUUCUUUCCAGCAACUCUUUUGUAUUGUUCUUAAAUUGUAUUUGUUGGGUUUCGACACAGAAAACGCAGCGGAAAUUGAACAAUUCAAAGUAAUUUCCGAAACCCCAAAACAGGAUCCAUGCGAAAAUCAAUUAAUUCAGAGGAUAGAAAUUUUACCGAUUUGAUUUGCUAGAACCGAUCCGGUCGAAUCUCCAACGCAAUUCAAGUGGACUGCGUCUCUACGGUAUCCACACUCACGCUAUGCACGAAUCGUCCUACGAUCUGCAGAAGAAGGAAGUGUGGUACUAGCCACCAAGGAUGGAUUUCUGAUUUUUCUCUCUAGUCUCUCUCUAANNNNNNNNNNNNNNNNNNNNNNNNNNNNNNNNNNNNNNNNNNNNNNNNNNNNNNNNNNNNNNNNNNNNNNNNNNNNNNNNNNNNNNNNNNNNNNNNNNNNNNNNNNNNNNNNNNNNNNNNNNNNNNNNNNNNNNNNNNNNNNNNNNNNNNNNNNNNNNNNNNNNNNNNNNNNNNNNNNNNNNNNNNNNNNNNNNNNNNNNNNNNNNNNNNNNNNNNNNNNNNNNNNNNNNNNNNNNNNNNNNNNNNNNNNNNNNNNNNNNNNNNNNNNNNNNNNNNNNNNNNNNNNNNNNNNNNNNNNNNNNNNNNNNNNNNNNNNNNNNNNNNNNNNNNNNNNNNNNNNNNNNNNNNNNNNNNNNNNNNNNNNNNNNNNNNNNNNNNNNNNNNNNNNNNNNNNNNNNNNNNNNNNNNNNNNNNNNNNNNNNNNNNNNNNNNNNNNNNNNNNNNNNNNNNNNNNNNNNNNNNNNNNNNNNNNNNNNNNNNNNNNNNNNNNNNNNNNNNNNNNNNNNNNNNNNNNNNNNNNNNNNNNNNNNNNNNNNNNNNNNNNNNNNNNNNNNNNNNNNNNNNNNNNNNNNNNNNNNNNNNNNNNNNNNNNNNNNNNNNNNNNNNNNNNNNNNNNNNNNNNNNNNNAUUGUUGUCCCAUCAACAAUGAUACUCGACUAGGGACAUUUAAGAACAAUGAUACUAAUAGUAAUUAUAUAAUCUCAUGUUCAAGUCACAUACUUGCAACUAUAUAAUUUGUAUCACUAUUCUAAGGAUUUUUAUUAUGUUGUCAUUUAUAUAACGCAGUAAAUAAAAUCAUAAUAAAAGCAUUCAUUUAUGCAAUCAAAUGUAAUAUCAAAACGUUAAGCAAUUAUAUCAAAUAAUUGGCCUCUAGGGCACAAUCUCUAACAGUAUUAUGUUGGAAACUUGAUAGUCGGUAAUCAAUAUCCUUGUUCUUAGUUUAAGCCUUGUAUCGGCUUGGACUAUCUAGAGUUGAUAGGAUCUGUUUGUAGACAAGCUUUCAAGGCUGCAGUAGUGCAGAGGUCUCAGUGGUGAGAAGGAUUGUAGAG
rnacentral:lncRNA from 1 species